rnacentral:lncRNA from 1 species
ACAUAACUGUUAUAAUUUAAAGCUUGCUCUAGAUCUAAACUUGUGGGAUGAAAACUUUAUCUGAAAUCUAAGUUGUUAACGGAUAUGAUAUGGGAAGGUUGAGCUGCUGUUUAUCUGUUCCUAGAGAUGCUAGAAUUCUGGAGAAUUUUAUCUUUGAAAAAUCUUUAAAAUAUUGCAUGAUGAGUUCUUGUAUGAUAAGAGUUCCUACCACAGCCAUAUAUACACGCUUGCUAGACUUUGAGCCACACAUUUAUUAUUUACUGCUUAUGAGCAUUGAGUGUGGUCAAGCUGUGUAGACCCUUAGGAGCUUGUCAUGUGGUUAAAUCAAGAUUCACUUGCACGUUCACUCAUAUAUGCUACUUCUACUCCUGAAGUACCAUCCACAUAUAUCCAUCCAUGUCCAUCUCCAGAACCACCCAAAAAUAUUCUACUCCUAAUCCGGGAGAGAAUAACCAAAAAUAUUUUUGUUUUUCCUUGUGAAAUAAAUGCUCAAGUUAUCUUGUUACUACCACUUGCUAUAUUAUCUCAUUAGAUGAGUGCUCUAAAAAAAGAGAGAAAAAAUAUACGAGGAAAUAAAAAGGGGCAAGUGCCCGGAACCUCGAAAGAAAAGAAAAAGAGUGAGACGAGAGGUAAAAAUGGACAAGUGUCCGACAGUAGAAUUAGGGGUACAAGAUACCCACCUGAGAGGAAAGAAAAAGAAGAGCAUCUCAUUCUCCUCAUAAAGUUUCAAAAAGCAAGUAAGGUAUGUAUCCCCUCAAAAGAGCAAAAGUAGAAUUAGACUUUCACCAUUGUUAUCACCAUCAUCACCAUACACCAUUCAUUCGCCACACAUGCACAUCUUGAUUUGACCUAUUGACUUGUUUCUCUGGAUCAAUGGUUUGACUAUGCAAUAAAUGUCUUGUAAGUAUGUAUACUUUAUCUCCCACCUAUGAGCUCCAGAUAUUAAAGCCUUAUUAGAGUAGGGUGAGAGAGAAGGCAAUGUCACUAUGCCUUAUACCACAAAUACCACAUAUCUUGAGAGAAGGCAUAUACCAUCACUGCCUUGGUAAGGAUCCAAAAAUACCACAAAAGAGAGAUUUAGAGAGUCAUACAAGGAAUCUCUGAGUUUUAUUUGAAAAUGUGCAAAAACUCCAGAGCUAUAGCUAAUCAAGAAUAAGAGACAUGGCACUUGGCUAGACUGUUCUAUCUUUUAAGUACUCAAGACAGAUGUGAUGGUUACAAGUCCCAUGGUGAAAGUUAAAGUAAGUAAGUUUUAGUUCUUGACAGUUUACUCUAACUCAGAGAUGAGAUCUUAUUUAAAAGCAUGUGUACCGUCAAAUUUUUAUGAUAUUGCAACAACUUCUGAUCCAUUGCUGAUUCUAUCCUUGCUCAGGGACGAGCAAGAGGUAAGCUUGGGGGAGUUUGUUGACGGUCCUUAAGUAUCAAAUUUAAUUAUCAAAUAAACAAAGAAAAGGAUCCAAAUGAAAUCAACAUCUAGACUUAGGGUUUUAUCUGACAGAAUUCCACGAGUUUUGGUGUUUGUCUAUUUCUGCAGGGGGUUAUCAGGAAAUAUUAAAGAAAGGCCCACACGUCAGGUUUACAUAGAGAUAUUCACGUGCCACACAAUUUUCUACCAUCUAGAAGACUCCAGAAGCCACGGGAACGAACGGGAGGCCGAUCGGGCCCGGGGGCAGGGCGCCCGCCCAAGCCCCUUGGGUGCCCGCCCAGCUACAGUAACCAAUCAGCUUCAACUUCGCGGAUCAUGCUCCACCGACCUAAUACUUCAAGGAAAACCACAUGAUCAAUGUCGGUUUGAUCAGACGGCCCAGAUUCAUCUGAAAAGACUAUAUAACCAGACCCCCUGGCCCCUGGAGGAGGCACCCCUUGAUCAUUAUUCAUUAUUCAUAGACAGAGCAAAAGCUAGGAUUUAGAGAUGAGAGCUCUCCUCUCUUCUCUAAACUAGAGUAGAUCUAGUUAGUAGCAAGAUGGAGAGCGAAGGAGGAUUAGAGGAGAGGCCGGCCUGUCGGUUCUUCCUCCGGUUGUACUUCGUCAUGAUCAAGCUCUAAUCAAGCUUGCUCAUGGGAUGACUCUGGUAAUCUACUUCUAAUUCAUUAUGCAAUUACUAAUUAUGUAUGCUCUGUUCACAACUCUUUUGAGUACUUUAAUCUAUAGGACGCUAUAGGUGAGAGUUGUAGUAUAGGUGUAAGCGAGGUGCUUAGACCUAGAUUACAUGUGGAUAUCCCCUGUCUAGCUGGAUCGUGUGGUAGGCCGCGUAGGUGACAGUUACGUUGGUCCUCUGUAGUCCACCUCUCGUUAGCAGGAUGGGUAGGGUUUAUCGGCCUAAGGAUAAGCAUCCUUUGUGGUGUACUCUUAUCACGUGGUUCGUCCCAGACAUAGACAUACCUCAUUGAAGUAGAGAAACCAUAGUUAUACUCUCUAUUCUGCUACCAUCGCCCAUAUACUAGAAUUGCUCUAUUCUCUAUUCCCAUAUUAUCACUCACUGUUAUCUUACCUUUAAUAUGUUCUUAUUCGAUUCUACCAUCUUUCCUAUUUACACCUAUCUAUCUAUCUUGGUUAAGUUAGAGCGUAGUCGGUUCUCCCGUUUCCCUGUGGAUACGAUAAAACCUUUAACCGGGUAAAAGCUUCAACGGUAUCCGUGCGCUUGCGGAUUAUCUGUGUGCGUAUAAAUACCAUAGUACACUCUAGUGCCAUGCUGGGGAUGACAACCUAGUAUUCAAGUGGUGUUAGCAAGUGUCAACAGGCAGCUAGCCGAUUUAGCUUUUUAGGGACUGCUGCCACAUAUCAGAGACAAGUAUGCUUCUCAGGAGUUUGAGAGUCUGAGUCAUUUGGUGCAGAGGAUUUCUGACCAAGACAUUAAACCUUUUGAUCCCAAAAGAGCAUGGAAUAAAAAGGUAUCAUUUGUCGAUGAGGCAGCAAUCACAGAUUCUGAUGAGGAACCAGUCAUCGGCUUGGCAGAGUGGGUGAAAAACAAGAAGCCAAUGUCUUGCCCUUUUGGGCAUAAAGAGCUAGAAAAAUUUGCAUUUGACAUCACCAAGGCCGAUAUGAUAUUUGAUUUUCUACUUCAAGGAGGGCAAAUCAAGUUAUCACCCAAUCUUGUGAUUCCAUCGGCAGAAGAAUUAAAGAAGAUGAAAUAUUGCAACUGGCACAAUGCAACGUCUCACAGCACAAAUGAGUGCAAGGUUUUCAGGCAGCAGCUGCAAACGGCUAUAGAAUCUGGGAGAAUCAAAUUUGAUAAUUCUAAAGCUCAGAAGCCGAUGAAGAUCGCUCAACAUCCUUUCCCAACAAAUAUAUUGGAUGCUAAGGGAAAAACCAAGGUCUUGACGUCAGAAGCAGCCGAAAGAAGUGCAUUGGUGGAUCCUCAGCAUCAGAUUACUGCUGCCGAUGCUAAAGGAAAGGGUUUAAUCCAUGAUGGAACUAGCUCAGGAAGGCCUCCCCGAUCUGGUAUUGUGAUAACUCAUAGAAGGCAUCGGGAGACUUGGCAGCAACGUGAAGAUCGGUAUCGGCAUCAACAAGAAGAUCGUCGCCGAGAGGAGAACCAACGCCGACAGGAGUGGAAUCGGCAUAAAGAUCACUGGAACUGUCCGUUCUUUAUCCAUUGCUGGGAGCAGAAUAUUAAACUGCCUACCGUUAGAGAUUGUCCUAAGUGCAAUGGUUAUGAUCAGUAUGAUAGACCUAAUCGGCAGUAUCAGAAUGAAGAUCGACGAUUUAAUGAGCCAAUUAGGGGGAGAACUUCAGUUCAUGAUCGGCUGGGGGGUAGGCUCAGUGUGCAUGAUAGACAUGGUUACCGUGUUGGGUACUUUCCCAGGAACCAAGAGGAGCUUGAAGAGAUGGCAAAUGCUCAAGUUCCCGAUGAGUUCAUAUUUUGCAGGGAUGCUAAUACCUAUCGAGUAGAGUCAAGGGAAAGUCGUCGCCCAUCGGUAAAGCAGCCACAACUUCCUCCGUUGUGUCCAGAGGGAUUAACCAGGACACAGAAAAGAAGGCUGUAGCGUGAAAGGCGAGAAGACUUGAGAAAAGGGGAGAAUUCUGGCAAAUUUGGAGAUCAGUAGCCUAACCCUAAAGGGAAAGGACCAUCGGCAGAUGUUAACAUGGUAUUUAUGUUGCCGGUGGAGUUUCUUGCGCCAACUAGUGAUGAUGAGGUGCUGGACUUUUCCGACCAGAUAGCUCAGUUGGCCCUGGAUCCGAUGACAGCUAUCUUUGAAAAGCCCGCCGACAAUGAGAGGCAGCAUCUUAAAGCCCUGUUCGUCAAAUGAAGGAUUGAUGGGCAGCCGAUGACCAAGAUAUUAGUUGAUGGUGGGGCUGCUAUUAAUAUCAUGCCAUAUGCAGUCUAUCCGAAACUUGGGAAAGGAUAUCAAGAUUUGACCAAGACCGAUAUGAUGCUGAAGGAUUUUGAAGGAAAUAUGUCUCCAGUUAAAGGAGCAAUAUGCGUCGAGUUGACCAUCGGCAACAAAACCUUGCCGACAACAUUCUUCGUGAUCAGUGGAAAAGGUGCUUACAAUCUGCUACUAGGGAGAGACUGGAUCCAUGCCAAUUGUUGUAUCCCAUCAACAAUGCACCAAUGCUUGGUUCAGUGGGUAGGUGACAAGAUUGAAAUUGUCCCGGGAGAUUCUUCUUAUGUCAUUGCAUCGGCAAAAGCAGACACUUAUGAGAGGACCAGGUGCAUCUCAGGAGAGAUUUGGGAGAGAUUUUCUCAAAGUUGCCGAUUAUGAAAUUCCACCGAUCCAAGCAGUCGGUUCUGAUGAGGAGUUUUAAUGGAUGGGUUCGCCGAUGAUGGAAAAUAAGGCCAGGGGUUUACAUCGGCCGAUGAUUUAGUAGAAGUAGAUAUAGGUAAUGGUGAUAAGUCUAAACCUACUUUUAUUAGUGCUAAGUUAAAUCCUAAGUGUAAGCAGCAGUUAACUGAUUUGUUAAAGGAAUAUAAAGAUUGCUUUGCUUGGGAUUAUACUGAGAUGCCUGGUUUAGACCGAUCUAUUGUUGAACAUCGGUUGUCUAUCAAAUCUGAAUUUCGGCCACAUUAGAAGCCAGCUCGCCGAUGUAAUCCUAAUAUUCUUCCUGAUAUUAAGGCCGAAAUAACUAAACUUAUCGAAGCUAAAUUUAUUCGGCAGUGUCGGUAUGCCGAGUGGAUUUCCAAUGUUGUUCUAGUUUACAAGAAAAAUGGGAAGCUUCGAGUUUGCAUUGAUUUUAGAAAUCUUAACAAGGCCACACCGAUGGAUGGCUACCCAAUGCUAGUUGUCGAUUUGCUAGUUGAUGCUGCAGCUGGACAUCGAAUUAUUAGCUUCAUGGAUGGCAAUGCAGGAUAUAAUCAGAUAUUCAUGGCUGAAGAAGAUAUUCCAAAGACUGCCUUUAGAUGUCCUGGUCAUGUUGGAUUGUUUGAGUGGAUGGUCAUGACCUUUGACUUGAAAAAUUCUGGUGCUACCUAUCAAAGGGCCAUGAAUUUUAUCUUUCAUGAGUUCAUCGGCAAGCUGGUAGAAAUUUACAUUGAUCAUGUGGUGGUUAAGUCUGGAGAUUUCACAAAGCAUCUUGCCGAUUUGCGAAUGGUGUUGGAAUGCACAAGGAAACAUGGUUUAAAAAUGAAUCCUAAUAAGUGUGCAUUCGGUGUAUCGGCAUGGCAAUUUGUUGGUUUUAUGGUGCAUCAAAGAGGAAAUGAAAUUAAUAGACAAUCUAUUGAUGCUAUCAAUAAGAUAGUUGCCCCUACCAACAAAACUGAACUCCAGUCCUUGAUCGGUAAGAUAAAUUUUAUCAGGCUGUUUAUAUCUAAGUUGUUUGGUAAAAUUCAUGCUUUCAGUCAUUUACUUAAAUUGAAAGCCGAUCAAUAGUUUAUAUGGGGAGAAGAGCAACAGUUGGCCUUGGAUGAAAUCAAGAGCUAUUUGACAAAUCCUCCAGUAUUGAUUCCACCUCAGCAAGGGAAGCCCUUCAGAUUAUAUUUGUCUACCGAUGGGAUGGUCAUCGGUUCGGCUUUGAUUCAAGAGUUUGAAGGGAAGGAGCGUGUGAUUUACUAUUUAAGGAGAAGAUUGAUUGAUGCUGAGACCAGGUAUUCGGCCAUUGAGAAAUUAUGUUUAUGUUUGUAUUUUUCCUGCACUAAGUUGUGGCACUAUUUGCUAUCGGCCGAAUGCACUGUUAUAUGCAAAGAUGAUGUGGUCCGAUAUAUGCUGUCUGUGCCGAUUAUGAGUGGUAGAAUCGGUAAGUGGAUUUUGGCACUGUCGGAGUUCGAUCUACGUUACAAAUCGGCUAAAGCGGUUAAAGGGCAGAUUAUGGCUGAUUUUGUGACUCAACAUCGUGCUGUGGUGGAUACUUUGGAAAUUGUGCCUUGGACACUCUUCUUUGAUGGAUCCACGUGUGACCGGGGGCACGAAUUGGCAUAGUGUUAAUUUCCCCUCGGGGAAGGAAGUAUGAGUUCUCUUUGCCGAUUGUUGCCAUGACAACAAAUAAUCAAGCCGAGUAUCAAGCUCUGAUCAAAGGGUUGGAAUUGUUAAAAGAAGUUCAUGCUGAUGUUGUUGAAAUCUUCGGGGAUUCUACGCUGGUUAUAAAUCAAUUGGCUGGAAGUUAUGAAUGCCGAAGCGAAGUCUUGAUAACUUAUUACGAAAAGAGCAUACAUCUAUUAAGGGAAUUCAAGAAUUUCCGAUUAGAGCAUGAUCCUCGGUUGCAUAAUGAGGAGUCUGAUCGGUUGGCUCAGCAUGCCUCGGGAUAUGAACCCAUACUGAAAACGUUAUCGGCAAUCGGUGCUGAUGAUUGGAGAAAGGAGAUUAUUGAUUAUUUAAGGGAUCCAUCUAAGAAGGUCGAGAGGCGUGUCCGGUUUCAAGCUACCAAGUAUGUGUUCCUUGAGGAUGAGCUAUAUUAUCGAACAAUCGAUGGGGUUCUUCUCAAGUGCUUAGGUGAUGAUGAAGCUAGAAGUUUGAUGGGAGAAAUCCAUGAAGGAGUGUGUGGAGCACAUCAGUUGGUUUUUAAGAUGAAGUGGAUGAUUAGGAGGAAUGGGUAUUACUGGCCAACCAUGCUCGAGGAUUGUUUUAAGUAUUUCAAAGGAUGACAAGGAUGUCAGAAAUUUGGUAAUAUUCAAAGGGCACCCGCAUCGGCCAUGAAUCCUAUUAUUAAACCUUGGCCGUUCCGGUGAUGGGCUAUUGAUCUAAUCGGCCAGAUUUACCCAGCAUCGAGCAAAGGGCAUAAAUUCAUCUUAGUUGCCACCGAUUAUUUCACUAAGUGGGUUGAAGCUAUUCCUUUAAAGAAAGUUACACCAGCCAAUAUGAUUGAUUUUGUAAAAGAGCAUAUUAUUUACCGAUUUGGUAGUCCUCAAACUAUUACCACCGAUCAGGGUACUAUGUUUACAUCGAGAGAGUUUGAUGAAUUUGCGAUCGGUAUGGGAAAUAAAGUGUUGAAUUCUUAUCCUUAUUAUGCUCAAGCUAAUGGGCAGGCCGAAGCAUCUAACAAAGGAAUUAUUAAACUUAUCAAACGAAAGAUUGAGGAAAAUCCUAGGAGGUGGCAUACAUUGUUGAAUGAAGCUUUAUGGUCGUACCUGAUGGCGUGUCAUGGGUCAACUAAAGUUUCACCUUAUCAGUUGGUAUAUGGACACGAUGUCGUACUGCCAUGGGAAAUUAAAACCGGAUCUAGGCGACUAUCUUUUCAAGACCAGCUGGCUGCCGAUGAUUAUGCUAUUUUGAUGAAAGAUGAGUUAGAUGAUUUAGCAGGGCAUCGGCUGAAGGCUUUGAUAAGUAUAGAAGAGAAUAAAAAGAGAGUUGCCAGAUGCUAUGAUAAAAAGGUAAAGCCUAAAGAAUUUGCCGAUGGAGAUUUGGUAUGGAAACUAAUAUUACUGAUUGGGACUAAAAGUUCAAAGUUUGGCAAGUGGUAUCCCAAUUGGGAAGGUCCUUAUCAGAUAAGUCGGUCUGCUCCCGGUAAUGCCUAUAUCUUGGAAACUCUCGAAGGAGUUGAAUCUCUCAAAGCAUUAAAUGGAAAAUAUUUGAAGAAGUAUUAUCCAAGCAUAUGGGUCGAUGCAUAAAAAGUUUAAAUAUCGAUAACAUUCCUAUCGACUAUAUUGAAAUGUAUCUAGGGCUAAGUGUGAUGUUUUAAAAGAUGCCGAUAACAGUCCUAUCGGCUAGACCAAAAUAAUCAGCAAUUUUAAAGAAGAAGCAAAACAUGCCGUCGAUGAAGAGUUCAUACAUUCAGCAGGGCUUGGAUGGCCGAUAUAGCGCACAGACGAAUUUGAUUGGCUUCUUCUAUCUCCCUGAUAUCUUCAUCGGUAGAGCCUUCCACCGGUUUCAGCUUCUUCUUCAUCUGUAGUGCCUUGCAAGCUUGGACGUUUUGCUCUUGUUCGAGGGUCUUGAUCGUCUCUGGCAGUUGACUUUCUUCCUGUUGAACUUGGGAAAGAGCUUCUUCUAUCUGUUUGAGCUCUGCCAACAGGGCUUCCGUUUUUGCUGACAGGUCGGAGAUCUUUUGUUUCAGCACAUCUCCUGAGGAUUUCAGUAUGUCGAUGCUCUUGUGUUUUUCAUCGGCAAGGUGCUUUACCUUCAUCACCUCCUCUGAAAGCUGGGCAUGAGCGGCUCUAUCGGCAAGGCACUGAGUGGCCUUUUGGUACUGAAGCUGUCAACUCUCCAAGUGUGCAGCCUUGAAGAGGAUCUCCUCGGCAUUGGUAGGGAUCUGGCCUCAGAGAGCUUUAAACAAAGUCUUGGCUGGAUCGGAGUCAUCAACCAGUUGGGCUGUAUCCUGAUGAAGCAGGGCCAGUAAAUCUUCUAGCUUUGCUCUGAUUUCUGCCGAUGAAAUACCGUUUGCUUGGGAAGAGCUUGCUUCCUCGUCUUCAUCAUCGGAAAUUUCGAUGGAGAAGGAGAACAGGUUGUCGGGAGAAUCUUGUUCCUAAAAAAGAAAAGGAGAUAGGUUAUUUGAUGAUGAAAUGUUAAUAAGAUAAAAGAUAAGAGUCAAAAAGCCUACUUGUUUCACAGCUAUCUCUCUCCUCUGACUAGUCGGGGCCGAUGGCACAACAGGUUGAUCGGCUAGAGUUGCCGAUGAGACAAUAUCAGCUGAAAGAAAUUAACAAGAAUAAUUAUUAGGUAGGAAGAUAAAUCCAUCGGUAACGAUUUCAUGGACAGUACUUUACAUUGAGGGGGUGCAGUGCUUGUCUGGAUCGAGGAGACUACCGAUGCUAUGAUUGAGCCCACUGGAUCGGCGGUCUGCUCAUGUACAUCAGCUGAUGUCUCUUCUCGCUGAGGUUCUUCUUCUGGCUGAGGUGCUUCUUGUGGUUGAGGUGGAGAUGGUGCUUGCUGAGUCUGGACUUCUGGUGAAGAAGGGGAUGAUUCUACAUGGAUCGGCGACACUGGGAGAGGAGAAGAAGGUGGUGUUGCUGUUUUCUGACGCUUUGCCUGUGACUUAGUACUCUUGGGGCCCUUUCUCUUUACUUGGCUAGACUGGGGGGCAUCGACACUUGUCCUGGUACUUCUGGUCUUUACUGAUAUGCCAGAUUGCUGAUACAACAACAAAAGUUUCGUAAGUACAAGCGCAACAGGGAGUUGAUGAAAUUCUGGUUAGGAUAGUAAAUAUUACCGAUGAAGUUCCCUUAGCAGCCGAUGUGUCCUGAAAGAAUUAUGUCAGUAUGGAAUGGAAUUGGUAUAAGUUGAAUCAGUCAAGAAUUUACCUUGAAAGCUUGCACCAAAGUAGUAGCAGCUACUGAUGGGGAUGCCUUCGCUCGUCUGGUGGUAAUUUUCUUGAAACGCACACCCUGGUGCAUUAAGGCCGCAAAGCUUGGCGCAUUGUUACCGAUCACAGAGAUCGGGCCCGAUGGAAGGAGUUCGAUCGGCCUUCCGCUUCUGCUGACUGUCGGUGGUGUAUCAUCGACCUAAUUAAAAAGGAGAGGAAGUAAGUUACCGAUGAAAAUAAAAGUAAUAUAAGAUGAUUGAAGCAUCGGUUGGAAACUUACAGUGUUCUCGGGAGUUUUGUACUUGGGGUCGAUCAUGCCGCGGUACGUGAGGGCCGAUCUACAGAACAGGUGUUCUUUCCACUCCUCCCACUACUGCUUGUAUGCUUGGGUGAUGAAGAGAGCCAGAAUCCAAGCCGAUAGAUCGACGUCUAUGUCAGCAUUUGGUGGAAGUUGAGCUAUUCUGAUCCACUCGAGAUUGCUGGUUAUGGUUUCCAUUGGUUUCACUACAUCGGCGUAGCAGAGCGCAAUCGGCGGCUGUCCAAAGGCUAGUUGGCGAGCUAGUGCCAAUGGGUUAUAGAACUCAUAAGUAAGAUUGGAGGCUUUCCCACUACCAAAGAAGUUCACUGGUAUAGCUCUUGGAGUGAUAAUGGCCAUCAUCAGAUCAUGGUCCUUGUUGAGAGCAUUGUCAAAGGGAUGAAAAGUCAGAGGAAAUCUAGUGUCUGGAUCCUGAUAAGGCAUCCAUGCUCGCUGCUCUCUGGCCAGGCCCUCAUAAAGAGUCUGAAAGAAUCGGCUAACCUGAUCUUCAUUGCCUCCAGUGCCAGGUAAGACUAUGGCAGGUUCACCAUAGUUCAGAGGGGAACGAGUUGUCGAUUCUUCUUCAUCCAACUCUUGGUCUUCGGCUAUAUCUUUGGGGAAGCGCUGUGCAAAGAGGUCAAAUCCAAGGCGCUUAUGCAUGUGGAUACUAAGCCACAUGUUGAUGAACCACCAGGGUCCCCCUAAGUUGCCGAUGGAUUGGCCUAGCAGGAGUUUCUUAGAUACCUGGUGGAGGAGGUGGUAAACAGAGCCGAGCAAGUAUCGGCCAUGAGGAAAUCGGCCACCAUUGGCCAGUCUUUCCGCUGCCGAUAGAUAGACAGAGGUUGGUCCUACCGAUCGGCCGCAGAACACAAACUUAUCCAACCACAUGUUCAAGAAAAUUGCCUCCUCUCUUUCCCCGACAGAUCCUAUCUUUCAGUACUUCUGAAAGUAUCCUGACCAACCAUCGAUAGCGCGAGUUUCUACUUUAGAACUGGGAUUGGUGUCAAACAGGUGACUAUUAUCGGCAGUGGAUAUGUCUAAGCCGGUGAGCAUAAGUACAUCGGCAAGAGUGGGUGAAGCAGGGCCAUGGCCGAAUACAAAAGCAUUGAGCGUGUCUGACCAAAAAUACGAGUCAGCUAUCAGUAGUGACUCGUUUCUCUCCAUAUCGGCAAGAGAUAAUCUGAUGCACUGGUCUAAUUUCCGCUCACCCCAUUGAACUUCAUUUGAAUGGCUGACUCUCAGGAACCAGUCUUUCCAUCCCUUGGUGGGCCUGGGCCAAGAAUGAAAGGCAUCUUUCCAUAGAUCUAAGGAAAAGUUUUCUGCGUUUAUUAGAUCGGUUGGAUCUGGAUUUCCUAACCAGCCGAGACAUUGGAAAUGACGUUGAUCUGUAGGAAUUACAAUCUCAUUGGCCAAAUCCUAAUAAAUUUUAAGGAUGAAAGAACAAAGAGAAAAAAAGGGAUACUCAGUAAAAGGAAUCGCAGAUGAAUAAGAGUACAGCAAAAGUGCGAAAAGAAAAAGGAUGGUAGACUGACCUCAGGAACGACGAAGUUGAUGGCCAUUUCUUCCUGAGGGAGAGGAUCGAAGACUUGGAGGAUUGGUGAAGGAGACUCUUGUUGAAGUUCUUGGAGUUCUCAGGCAAUGCCGCCACCAGGAAAGUAGAUUUUGGGCUGUAGAAUGAUAGAAUGGAGAAGGAGUACCGGAGAAGGAAGUAUUUAUAGGACAAAACGGGCAGGGGCAAAUCUGACUUAUCUCUUUGCCACAUCCGUGAAAUCCGAGGGUGCUCAGGUGGAUAUAGUAACUGUUCGGAUGAUAAUCGAUGGAUUGCGCAGGUGAUUUGACAACAAGUGGUCUUGAUUUUGGAGAUAUUUUACUGUGCAAGAUCGCCUGGUUGGCCCAUCGGCAGUUCUCCCUAACGGUAAUAUUGCCGAUGAGCGCAUAAAGUGGAGAGAUUUGAUUGAGAGGUUGAGAAAUUCGAGGAAUCUGCAGGAGAAUCCGGCCGAGGUUGUUUAGAUUUGGCGACUGAUUACCAAAUUGGGAGAAAUAAUUGUGGAAAGGCGACAUUACUACAGAGAAUUUCGGAGCAUGAAUGAUUUUAUACUCCAAAAUUAGGGGGCAUGUGUUGGCACCGUUUUUGGACACGUAUCUUUUGAUACGCAUCUGGAGUUAAUGAGAUGUAGAUCGGCAGAUGGAGCAGUUGUGACCAGUCUAUAGGAAAGAUGCAGAUAAAGGUGGCUGCCGAUGGGAAACAAUCAGAUAUGACCAAGUCCAGAAGUGGUGACGUAUUCGUGCCGAUGACCAAUGCCAGUGUCUGCCGAUGACUCUGAAGAAAAGCGCGGAAGUUGCCGAUUGAUUCAUGAUGGUGUCCCGAUCGGUUACGGGGGUAGUUUAAUGUUUUCCUUAGUUAUUAGAAUUUAUUUUGUAUAUGGUUUCUAUUUAAUUUGGAAUUUGAGUCCAAGUCGUGUCUGGUUGUGGCUCUUUGGGUAGGGUAUAAAUGUAGACCCUUGUGCAAUGUAAUGAGACAUCUAUCAAUCAAUCAAAUAUAAGUUUUUACUUAUAUUCCAGCAUCUACUUUUUCGAUGACUUUGUCAUAUUUUAUUUUUACUACGAGUUCUUAGGAAUUCGUCGAGUCAAGCUCGGCGUGUUCUCAAGUUCCGCGUGAGGACCUCUUGGCCGUGACAUCCGGGCGCAUCGCUGUUGUCAGCACCAAAGUGUUCGAGUUAUCACCUUUGUCGAAUGUAAGGUCAAAUCGGCUGGCACGCCUUAACGUUUGAAUCGAGUAUUAGCCCUUUGUGUUUGCAGAUCAGCUUUUGCACCAACAGAAACAUCUAUGAUAAAGACAAAUUACUAUUGCAAUUAACCAUGUGAGAGCAAGAUAAAUGCACAAAUCAUAUUUUCUUCAAACACAUGGCCAUAUCAUAUAUAAACAUGAUACAAAAAUAUCAUAGAAUUGUACUAGAACAGCAUUUUCCAUUUUUACAUUUUUAUUUAUAAUUAUAAACCAUUUAUCAAGCCCCAUGAAGACAUCUCUAUUCAAAACAUUGACAGAAUCUAUCAUACCACAUUAAACAGCCAUAACUUAAGUUUCAUAUGCCCAUAAAUUAUAGUUAUGUACUUUCUAGAAAGCUUACUAAAUUGUGAACAACUUUUUUAUAAACAUCUAGAGCUAAAUCUAUAACUAACAAGGUCUUACAUAACAAAUAAUGCAUCCAUGUUUGAGUUUAGACAGAAACUGAAACAGUACUUUAAACUACUAUAACUAAACAUAUGCUUGACCAAAAAUUAUGCUAUUUUGCUUGAUAGAAAGCUUAUGAAAAGUACUACAACUCAUAUAUUUUCAUCCAGGCAUGAUUCACAACCUAACAGAUCCAAACAAUAUAAACAUGCAGAUCCACUCAGAAUAGGAGCAAAGCAACACAGAGCAUUUGUUAUUUUUAUAACUCUUAAUCUGUCAUUCCUCAAUUCAUGAAACUUUUACCAGACAUCAAAUAUCAUAUGAAAAGCUUGUCACAAUAUUUUCACAUUUAUGUGAGCAAUAAUACAGUGGUUAUGAAAAAGACAAAUAUAACAAGCAAUUAAAACCGAAAUGCACAAAUCUAUUUUUACCGUUAAAACUUCAUACUAAAACAUGCAAUAAUAUAGAUCUACUACAUAGAGAAUUGCACAAGGAUUCCAAAAUGUCUACAUUUGCUAUUUUACGACUUUCCUAUGCUAUUUCACAAGAAUUUCUAUGCAUUUCCAAAGUUCACCCAGAAAUCUGCUAAAACAAAAGAAAAAGGAAAAUACUUUUGCCUCGGGAACCCUGGAGUUUCCAUGAAUUCUGCCACAGCCUAGAAACACUAUUCAUAUGUGUCUUGGCUUCGCAUCUGGAACCCUAAGUUGUUUCAUAUUCUAACCCGAGGUCUCUGACGCGAAAGGAAACAGGGGACUCGCCGGAGCGCUUCUUGUUCCGGCGAAGGGAGGCCACGUCGGCGGCGAGGGGGUGGUGGGGGAGCACCAGGAGAUCACCGCGCACCCGCUGGUCGCCUUGGAUGGCCGGGAGAGAGCCCGUGGCGGCCUAGCCACGGCAGCAGGCGGCGGCGGCGGUCUGCUCCCGGUGGUGGCGGUGCUCCGGCGAUGGUUGGGGCCGGAAAUGGAGCUCAGCGCAGUCAGGAGGACAUGGCGCAGGCACUGAGAUACUUAGCUUGGGCUGAGGAGGCAUGGUGCAGCGAGCAUUGCGGCAGGUGCGAGCUCAAAUCGGCGGCCUUGGCGGACGCGGCGGCGUUCCCGCAGUAGGGCGCAGUAGAGCGCGAGCGAGGGCGAGAGAGGACGCCAGGGAGGAGUGGGGAGCUCGCCAUCCACUCUGGAGGGCAGGGGCGGUGUGGAGCAAGGAGCUGGGUACGCGGUGUCUAUGCAUGGUCGCCACGCACCAGCGACGUGUCCGCCCGUUGAGGCAUUCCAACGAGCAUGUGUCGGGCAGUGAAGUGGCUCAGGUGGGACACAUUUUUGGACUCCUUACGGGCCGAUAUGGACUUUGGGCCAGAAAUGAAGGUUUCUAUACUCGGCCCAUUCUACAAUUUUUGUUUAAGGUUCACUGCCAUUAGAGUUAUAGAUUAGUAGAUAAUUUGAUACCAACCCUUGAGUGUUAAUUAAUUGUUAAUGAUUAGCAAAACUCAAAAUUGAUGACCAAAACGAAGUCAAACUGGUGUCAUCUUUUGUUAUGCUCUUGUCCACAAUAUGUACUCCAACUUCUACUUUAGGACCCAAACAAGUUGUUGAACAAAAUUUGGAGAACGCGGAAUGCCAACGUGAUGAACUGCAAGCCUAGACUUAGAAAUUCGAAAUGCUGGAAAUUAUAGCAGAUUCAAUAUGGUGGCUCAUAUUUGGCAAUCUUAGAAGAUGAUUCGGACUUUGGCACUUUUAGAAUACAAACAAUACUACAUCUUUUACUAAAGGACCUUGUACUGGUUCAGCCUUGUUUGGAAGAUACAAGGCUCCCAACUAGGGUACCCGAAACUGAGCACCUUGAGGACUUGGCCAAAAUUCUAGAGUUCCAAAACAGCACUGCAUUGAAUCUUUUAAGCUCAAUUUGACUAGGUUAGGGACCAAACUAGCUCUUGACCAUUAAACAAAGUUAGUUCUACAGAAGUUAAACUACAACUUUUAUUUAAGGUCAAACCUCAGAACUAGUAUAGAAGUCAAACUUUCACUUUAGUCAAUGCAGCAACUUGAUAAAGGUUGAUUUAAGGUUUUAGAGCAAUUGAAGCAUUUCUUGGGCACAAGCUCAACAUGAACCGUUCAUGACUUUUGUUGUAGAGUUCAUCUAGAGUCAUUUGGGCAAGGUUGCAAAGAUUGGUUGAUGACCCAUGGUUCCAUUUACUUAAUGAGGUCAUUCCAACAAGCAUUUAACUUAUCAUUUCAUGUGACCUUUUGAUUCCGAACGUCAUGAAACUUUUUGAGUGAUCACUAGAGGUCAUGAUGGAUGUGGGACACAUGAAAGAGGUUCCAUAAACAUCACCCAAGUAUGCACUUUGAAAAGAGCCUAUAUGUAAGCAAGAGUGCAUUCUCUAAGUUUGACUUGAGGCUCACUUUUAUGGAUUAACAUUAACAUGAUCAUCACCACUUAUCUUGGCAUGUUUGAGCUCAAAACCUAGGGUCUAACUAGUGGCUAACACCUGGGGUGUUACACAGGGUGUGACAGAAAUGGUAUCAGAGCGAUGUUGACUGUAGGACGUAUGCCUAGACAGCACUGGUCGUUUUGUAAAGCUUAUUUUGAUAUAAAACUAUUUUCUCAUCCUUGUCAUGUUGUAUCCCCUCCUUGAGUAGCUUGCUUUGAGCUAUUUCUGUUUAUCUCCUUGACUAUUGUUUAGUUGUUUUACUUAAGUUUACAAAAUUUUCUUUAUUCCAAAUUCGAUGGCCCUUCAUCAUCUCAGACUUACCUUUUAGGAUGACCACCACUGUUGAAGAAGCACGUGUAGUAUCGCUGAUGUGAUGUGUGCUUGUCUUGCUUGGUUUGUUGUUUUGUGUGUUGUCUGUGUUCUAGUGUCUUGAAGGAGUCUACAAGAAGUCAUUUGGGUGUUAGCUCAAUCCCUGUUAAGUGGGGUAGUGAUCUCUCUUAUCCUAUCUAUCUACGGUCAAUCUUGAUCCUCUCCACCUAUUCUCUCUCACUUCAAGUCAUGUUCUUUGUCCAUACUACUCUAGCUCAUUCUACUACAUAUUGUCAGAUGGUGGACACCAGUGAUGAAGUCAAAGGAAUUAAUACCCAUCAUCAGAAUCAAUAAAUGACUUCUGCAACACAAUUGAGCAGUGAAGAGAUGAUAGCUUAGCAAUCCCAAAUCCUAGAGAUGGCAGCUGAUCAGAUGGCUAGACUCCAAAAUCUUUUGACACUACAAGCUCUACAUCUCCAAGGUGACAUUGAAGAAGCUUACAUCAAAUGUCAGGAAGACCCAACCAUGCUACCCUUGUCUCUUGUAAACAAGGAGAAGCCCUUGUUUACACAGGAUCAAUUACUAAGUGGAGUGGGACCACAAAAAGAUUCUCGGUUAUAUUUAGAGAAGAACAUGACUGAAACUCAGGAAGAAGCAAUGAAGCGACAAGUCGUCAAAGCCUGGAAGAACAUGAAAGCUAAGAAAGAUUGUAUCAAUGAGGCACUUGGGAUUCAAGAGCCGUGUAACUGCUACAGAUAUUAUGGUUUACCAUGUCUUCAGAACAAGUCAGGCGAAGGAAAGAUUGAGAUACACGAGGAUCAAUAGGCUGAAGUGUACAAAAAAGGAAGACAACCUCACCAGAGCUAGUGUUAAGUGUCGAGCCAAAUCUAUGUUCUGCAUCGCAAUCACCUUAGUCCCAAACUCUCAUCAGACACAUUCAUAUCUUGAAGAGUUAGAUGCCCCUUCAACUACACUUGCUAUGCCAAAGUUAUAUCUGGAUGGAUGGACCAUCACUUAUACAUAAUUUCAGCCUCGAAAGAGUAAUCAAGCUGAGAAUUGAAUAAGUGAAGAGACUCCAUUGAAGGAGAACCCUCAGAACCAACAAGUUAGUAGCACUUUAGUUACUCCUGGCACAUCAAUUCAAGAAGCUCGAUGUCAAGAUAGCACCCACGUUAAAACGGUUAGCAAUGCUUGUUACCAGUGUCACGAAGAGGGACAUCACAAGAAGCAUUGUCUAAAGAAGUACCUAGUUCGUGACUAUGUUAAUGGUAGAUUAAACCAUGUGGAUCUGUGUACUGCUUGUGAAGCACAAAAUUUGGUGUUUGGAUCAAUUCUAGUCAACUCAACUCCUGCCAUUGUUUAGUUCGACUCAGGUUCUUCACAUUCUUUCAUCUCAAACAAAUGUGUUGCCGAUCAUAAGAUGCUUAUGUUGGAAAUGAAGAAACACAUACUGGUCAAAUCAUCAAGAGGGAAGAUAAAAGCAACACACAUGUGCCCAAAAGUUAGUCUUGACAUAAAAGGUGCAAAUUUUGAGGUGAAUCUUGUAGUUUUGGAAUCGAUGGAGAUUGAUGUCGUUCUUGGAAGAGGAUAGUUAACCACUUGUCAUGGAAAGAUUGACUGUACCCAACACUCAGUAUCCCUAACCACCCCAUCAGGAGUAGGUUUGUGUAUGAGGGCACUCAACCUCACCCCAAGAAUUAAAAGACUAAUGGAACGAUAGUACCGACAAUGAGGCAGUUUGAAAGAAAUGUGGACGUUAUACAGAGGCAGUAUAUUCUCAACAUCUUAUGUGAGUGUUGACAUUCGUUGAGUGCAAUAAGAAUAAGAAAAAUUCCGCAAGCACACAGAACAUCAUCGUAGCAUUUUAUUGGGAGUAUUCCAGGUAUCGUUAUUUAUAUUUUACCACUGGGAAGCUAAGGUCAAAGAAUCUGAUAACUUAUUAUCAUGCAUCUACUAAUUUAAUAAACCAACUAGACUAAAGUAGGGGUAAAUGAUAUAUGAUAGGUAAUAAUAUAAAGGUGAGAAUUANNNNNNNNNNNNNNNNNNNNNNNNNNNNNNNNNNNNNNNNNNNNNNNNNNNNNNNNNNNNNNNNNNNNNNNNNNNNNNNNNNNNNNNNNNNNNNNNNNNNCGAGGGCACUCAACCUCACCCCAAGAAUUAAAAGACUAAUGGAACGAUUGUACCGACAACGAAGCAGUUUGAAAGAAAUGUGGACGUUAUACAGAGGUAGUAUAUUCUCAACAUCUUAUGUGAGGCAAGUUAUAUUCAGGGACCUAGAUAGAUUUGAGCUAGUCAAUGAUGGUCUAUGAAACAUAUGAAGUUGGUGAUGCCUUUCAGCUUAUAAAGAUUUUGCAUUCAAUCCACUUGUAAUCUUCUUUGUAAAAUGAGAUGUCUUGUUCAUUGUACCUUAUCAUUCUUAAGCUCCUAAUAUGAGUUAUGAGUUGUUCAUCUAGCUGUUUAGUCUUAUUUGUGGUGAUCGAUGGAACCUCAGACGAAGCAUCUAUAUUGUCCUAACAUUAAGUGGUAGUGCUUACCUGUGAAGCGAUCUUAAAUACUUCAUACAGAAUGAGUCGACACCCUUUGUGUAGUUCUCUCUUGCAACAUUCUCUUGACACUACAAGUAGUAGGUCAAGUCUGCUUAGGAUCCAUCUAUGGAGACCACAAAGAAGCACUAAGUGACCUAUAAAGUGUCAUGCCUGUUGACCUAUCAAAGCAAGGCAAUAGGAAACCGAGGUCCUAAGAUAAGACUUAUUUUUCACCUUGGAAUAGAUGAUGGACUAUCACAUGACAAAAUGCAGAACCUGAAAGUCAGAUGUAAAACCAUACCGAUAUAUGGCCAAUUUCACCGACCCCUUGGUUUGUUUUUUUUGGGAAGUGUUCAAGAACUUUCACCUGGAUAAACUUCUCGUCUUCUGACUUACGUCUCACACUAGCACUAAGAAAAUUAAGAACAUCUUAAUCUAUCCUUUCCAAUCAUUGUGUUGAUUCUCUCCUUGUUCCUCGGAAUCUCCAGCUGUGCAGCGUGUUGUCGAACUAGUAACCUCCAAAGGAAAACCUUGAAGAUUAUCUACCGACAAGAUGAGUGUUAUUAUACAGGAUUUUGGAAGAUAAGCUAACACUUGGUUUAAGUGGGGUAGCGUCCGCUAAGAUCAUCACUCUCAAAAAUCUCUAAUUAGAACGACAUGGAGAACUAGAUAUUGAUCCUUAUCAUUCUUGCGACGAACCCUUAUCAUUUUUGCCAACCUGCGAUCUUGGAUCUUACAUCUCAUAGGACUACAAAUGAUUAAGCGUGAAGACAAAAAAUCAAGUCUUUGUCAAAUUUUGCUAAUUCUUUAUCCUUUCAUCUACUAUCUUAUACAAAUCCGGAAUCAAGGAAAUUGCGAGCAUUAUAAUAUCUAUCUGUAUCUCCUAUGUAUCAUCUCUUGUUAAUAUUGGCUUCUUGCCCUUGCACCUUAUCUUAAUAAAGGAUCCAAAGAUCAAUCCUAUCACAUAUGUUUAUCUUUCCUUGUAACCGAUAUUUAACAUACUCUUUACCCUUUACGUCUAUAUUGAUCAUGUCUUGAAAGUCUUGAAACAACUUUUACGAUCUACUUUAUCUUUCUCUUUAGUUUCUUCAAAUCUCGGGACGAGAUUUUUGUUAAGUGGGGUGGAUCUAUAACACUCCAAAAUUUUUAUUUUGGAUUGUUAUUAGAAAACACUAAAUUAAAUAAGGAUUUAAAUUUUUUCUAAAAUAUUCCAAGUUUUAUUUAAUUACUGAAUUCAAAAAAGAGAGAAAAAUGUGGAAUUUUAAAUUUUUUAUAAAGAUAAGUGAUGAGUGUUUUAUUUAAUGUUGUGUGCUUUGUGCCCUAGCUUUGUUUAGCUUCUAUGUAAAAAAAUGAAUUUCAAAUUUUCUAGCAAGCACGUUUAGGGCCUUUUGAUUUUAGGAAAGAUAAAACACUAAAAGUCCUUUUUGAAAACUAAUUUAUAUUUGAGUUAAAAAACAUUUUAAAAAGUUGUUUAGAAAAAUAUAGGUUUUUGUUUUCACAGAUAGGUAAGAAAACAAUUCCAAAAUAAUCUCAAGGUAAUGAAUCAAAUUUUGGUUUCAAUGUGUCUUGCAAAAUGUGUUCAUAAUCCCUUUUCCCACCCCUCCCACUGUCUAGCUCCCGGCCUAGCUUGCAACCACGGCCCGGCGCCCCGCCUCAGCCUGCUAGCAGCCGCAGCAGUGUGGCCCGCGUGCGCCUCCCGCUUGGGCCUCGGCUCAGCAGUACCGUGGCCCAGCAGCAGCAGCGGCCCGCAAUGCCACCUCGCCCUAAGCCUCUGCCAGCCGGGCCCCACACGUCAGCCAUCUUCCCCAACCUCCGUCCGCUUCGGGCGGAUGAGAACGCCGCAAUUAUCUCUGCUCUCCAUAAGGACUUACUCAUGGAGCGGCCCCCUGGGACAUACAGUGCAGCUCCAAGCUAUAUGGCUCUGGCUUGACUAAUUAGCAGGACCUCCACUAGUAGGGUGUUACUUUCCGGGUAGGCGUGAGGAAGUAAUUUGGGUAAUGAAUAUUAAGUUGUCGGUUGAUCGGUAUGCCAUGGCUAUGGGUAUCGACUGCCGAGCGCCCCGGGCAAAACUUACGAGUGGCAUCCUAUUAGUUGGACCCUAUGAAAGGUCUCGUAGUGAGACCCUGCCUGCUCACCUUGGUAGUGUUUUGGGGAGUCGUGACCCCGGGCAAAUGGGAAUCACGACUUGGAGUGAAAGUGCACACCUCUGCAGAGUGUAAAACUGAUAUAUCAGUCGUGCUCACGGUCACGAGCGGCCCAGACUCUCACAUGAUGAGCAAAUUGGAAUCACAGGGAACUUGGAGGCGGAACUUGGUUGAGGUUGCUACCUCGUGCUUUGGCGGAAUGGCUAUUCCGUGUUAGCAGAAUUGUUAUCCUGUGUUCUUAAUUGGGAUUGCUAUCCCAUGACCUUAAUGGGGUUGCUACCCCGAGUUACUAUCCGAGGUUGCUACCUCGGUAAUCUUAAUAUAAUUAUUAUUAUAAUGAUGAGUAAUAAUAUUGUUAAUAUACUUUCAUCUAAUUAAGGGUUGGGAUGCUUCACUCAUAUUUAGUAAUAGGUUGUUUUAAUAAAAUAAUUAUAAUAAAAGUUUACCAACUAAAAAGCUCAUUGUAGUUAAACAAUGUCAGCUUUUCCUUUGAUUAAGCCUUGCAUGUCAUUAUACUUUCCGCCUGUACUUGUUGGGUUCGACAUGAACUCACCCUUGCUAUUUUCCCCACACCCCAGUGUGUAGUAAAGUGCAGCUCAGAAGAAGGACAUAGAAGCUAUGAAGUUUUCUAGAAGUAUAUCACAAGUGCUUGGUGAACGUAGCCCCCAGUCAACCGUCCCUGAGAAGAAUGGAGCCUAAGAAGUUUAGCUACUAUUUCCGCAUACUCUGAUGUUUGUAAGUGUUAUUAUAAAUAUGUUUUCUGCUGUAUAUAACAUUGUUUUUGAUAUUUCUAUUCUUUGUUGUUUGUGUGGACUUCUUGGGCACACAUAUGACGACUCUGGUCUUAUUUUAAAAGCCAGGGUGUGACACGAAUGCUAUCAGAGCGAUGUUGACUGUAGGAGGUAUGCCUAGAUUGCACUAGUCGUUUUCUAAAGCUUAAUUUGAUAUAAAACUAUUUUCUCAUCCUUGUCAUGUUGUAUCCCCUCCUUGAAUAGCUGGCUAUGAGCUAUUUCUGUUUAUCUCCUUGACUCUUGUUUAGUUGUUUUACUUAAGUUUACAAAACUUGCUUUAUUCCAAAUUCGAUGGCCCUUCAUCAUCUCAGACUUACCUUUUAGGAUGACCACCACUGUUGAAGAAGCACGUGUAGUAUCGCUGAUGUGAUGUGUGCUUGUCUAGCUUGGUUUGUUGUUUUGAGUGUUGUCUGUGUUCUAGUGUCUUGAAGGAGUCUAGAAGAAGUCGUUUGGGUAUUAGCUCGAUCCCUGUUAAGUGGGGUAGUGAUCUCUCUAAUCCUAUCUAUCUAUUGUCAAUCUUGAUCCUCUCCACCUAUUCUCUCUCACUUCAUGUCAUGCUCUUUGUCCGUACUACUCUAGCUCAUUCUACUACAUAUUGUUAGAUGGUGGACACCAGUGAUGAAGUCAAAGGAAUUAAUACCCGUCAUCAGAAUCAACAAAUGACUUCUGCAACACAAUUGAGCAGUGAAGAGAUGAUAGCUUGGCAAUCCCAAAUCCUAGAGAUGGCAGCUGAUCAGAUGGCUAGACUCCAAAAUCUUUUGAUAGUACAAGCUCUACUUCUCCAAGGUGACAUUGAAGAAGCUUACAUCAAAUGUCAGGAAGACCCAACCAUGCUACCCUUGUCUCUUGUAAACAAGGAGAAGCCCUUGUUUACACAGGAUCAAGUACUAAGUGGAGUGGGACCACAAAAAGAUUCUCGGUUAUAUUUAGAGAAGAACAUGACUGAAACUCAAAAAGAAGCAAUGAAGCGACAAGUCGUAGAAGCCUAGAAGAACAUGAAAGCUAAGAAAGAUGGUAUCAACGAGGCACUUGGGAUUCAAGAGCCGUGUAACUACUGCAGAUAUUAUGGUUUACAAUGUCUUCAGAACAAGUCAGGCGAAGGAAAGAUUGAGAUACACGAGGAUCAACAGACUGAAGUGUACAAAAAAAGGAAGACAACCUCACUAGAGCCACUGUUAAGUGUCGAGCCAAAACUAUGUUCUUCAUCGCAAUCACCUUUAGUCCCAAACUCUCAUCAGACACAUUCAUAUCUUGAAGAGUUAGAUGCCCCUUCAACUACACUUGCUAUGCCAAAGUUAUAUCUGGAUGGAUGGACCAUCACUUAUACAUAAUUUCAGCCUCGAAAGAGUAAUCAAGCUGAGAAUUGAAUAAUUGAAGAGACUCCAUUGAAGGAGAACCCUCGGAACCAACAAGUUAGUAGCACUUUAGUUACUCUUGGCACAUCAAUUCAAGAAGCUCGAUGUCAAGAUAGCACCCACGUUAAAACGGUUAGCAAUGCUUGUUACCAGUGUCACGAAGAUGGACAUCACAAGAAGCAUUGUCUAAAGAAGUACCUAGUUCGUGACUAUGUUAUUGGUAGAUUAAACCAUGUGGAUCUGUGUACUGCUUGUGAAGCACAAAAUUUGGUGUUUGGAUCAAUUCUAGUCAACUCAACUCCUGCCAUUGUUUAGUUCGACUCAGGUUCUUCACAUUCUUUCAUCUCAAACAAAUGUGUUACCGAUCAUAAGAUGCUUAUGUUGGAAAUGAAGAAACACAUACUGGUCAAAUCAUCAAGAGGGAAGAUAAAAGCAACACACAUGUGCCCAAAAGUUAGUCUUGACAUAAAAGGUGCAAAUUUUGAGGUGAAUCUUGUAGUUUGGAAAUCGAUGGAGAUUGAUGUCGUUCUUGGAAGAGGAUAGUUAACCACUUGUCAUGGAAAGAUUGACUGUACCCAACACUCAGUAUCCCUAACCACCCCAUCAGGAGUAGGUUUGUGUAUGAGGGCACUCAACCUCACCCCAAGAAUUAAAAGACUAAUGGAACGAUAGUACCGACAAUGAGGCAGUUUGAAAGAAAUGUGGACGUUAUACAGAGGCAGUAUAUUCUCAACAUCUUAUGUGAGUGUUGACAUUCGUUGAGUGCAAUAAGAAUAAGAAAAAUUCCGCAAGCACACAGAACAUCAUCGUAGCAUUUUAUUGGGAGUAUUCCAGGUAUCGUUAUUUAUAUUUUACCACUGGGAAGCUAAGGUCAAAGAAUCUGAUAACUUAUUAUCAUGCAUCUACUAAUUUAAUAAACCAACUAGACUAAAGUAGGGGUAAAUGAUAUAUGAUAGGUAAUAAUAUAAAGGUGAGAAUUAUAUGAUAAAUGCGUAGAUAGCCAUAGCGAGAGGACAACGGGAGAGACCUGGGUUCCUGUAUACUUCUCUAUUACUUUAGUUCUAUGAUAACAAAGAAUGAAUAGAUAUAGCAAUCACAUAUUAGCACUUUGGGACAUCAGAACACCAACCACAGAAAGAGAACUGGAAGGGGGCAUGGCAACAUUAUAUGUCGAGUAGUAUGUCGAGUACUUUCAAACCAACACUUACUUGUGAAUAGAUAAAGGUAGCAUGGCAACAUUAUAGAGAUCUACUCAAGUGGGGAUGAAGUAGAAUGAUUAGUGUUUAACAAAUUGAGCAUGUCUUAAGGGUAGGGACAACCAACAUAGCAAAGGAUGUUUUUGUGUAAGGUAUUCCCCCCAGCUUGAACAAGUCAAGUUUGGAUAAAUUUAAUUCAAUGUUGCAUGAUGAUUGGUUGGACAUACCUUGUUGUUAUUCUUCACUCUUUUACUUCAAGCCUGAAUCGUGAAGAUAACGGGAUUGCUUCCACCAAGCUGAAUGUUGACAUAGUCUUUAAUCUUGAAUCCGCACAACACAGAUGUUCUUCAAUAUUCUUGAGCUUCAAAAUGUCAGUGAUGAUUACAGCGCUUCCAAGUUGAUGAAGAUAUCUUGAUCAUUAGGGAUUCUCUCUUUAAAUCAUGUUAAACUCAAAUAGACAACAAAACUUGUGGCACUGAUUAAACAUUAGUAGUUGGCCACUUAAGCCUUAGUUGUCCAAGCUUUUUUGAUUUUUCUUAAUUCAUUUUCUAAGCAGAGUUUCAACAAGAUCUCUUUCUCAAUAUAUAUAUAUUUUGGGCCUUAAUCUUUCUAUGAAGCAAAAAGGAAAUGGAACAGGACGAAUGCAUGUUUAUUUAUUUUUUUUUAUUCCACCACGGUGAAUAUCCGUGUGGGCUUUUACGCACCACACAAUUUAUUCACAUGAGGUUUUAGUAUUUAAGAUGCAAUGAGUUAUAUAAAAUAUUUUUAUUAUAUUUUCUAAUUCAAUAAUAAUGCAAAAAGAUAAAUAUGUAAUGGAGAAAUAAAUAUGCUAAAAACAAAUACAGAAAAGAUAAAUACAAUAAACCUACUAAAGCUAGUGAUACAUUAAAUUAACACACAUCAAGAUCAUUGUCAAAAUUUUCACACCAAUUGCUUCCCCGGCAACGGCGCCAAAAAUACUUGUUGACAUUCGUUAAGUGUAAUAAGAAUAAGAAAAAUUUCGCAAGCGCACAGAACAUCAUCGUAGCAUUUUACUGGGAUUAUUCGAGGUAUCGUUAUUUAUAUUUUACCGCUGGGAAGCUAAGGUCAAUGAAUCUGAUAACUUACUAUCAUGCAUCUACUAAUUUAAUAAACCAACUAGACUAAAGUAGGGGUAAAUGAUAUAUGAUAGGUAAUAAUAUAAAGGUGAGAAUUUUAUGAUAAAUGUGUAGAUAGCCAUAGCGGGAGGACAACGGGAGAGACAUGGGUUCCUGUAUACUUCUUUAUUACUUCAGUUCUAUGAUAACAAAGAAUGAAUAGAUAUAGCAAUCACAUAUUAGCACUUUGGGACAUCAGAACACCAACCACAGAAAGAGAACUGAAGGGGGCUGGGAAGCUCUGACUACGGUCCUACAAACACCGAUACGAACGAGGUGGAAUACGUCGACCGUUAGGGGUGUUACUAUGCUAGGGCUACCACAACAAUCCGUAGAACUGGGUGCAACCUCAGGUAACCUCUAGUAUAGACACCACGUCUAAACUAACGAUUACUACUCUAAUUACCAUGAAUAACUAGAGCAUUCGAUGCGAACGGAGAUCCUAUGCCAAAAUAUAACAACUACACUACUCGAUAAUAAUAAAGGCAUAAAAGUAAAUAGAGAAGAUAAAUAUAUUAAAGCAUAAGUCUUACAAUAAAUAUAAAGACAUACCAAAACUCUAAAGACUUCUUCAGAACCGAAGCACAACUCCGCUCUCCCUAACUCCCGACUGGAACUAAUGUACUACACUGGAAUGUCUAGCCCUAAUUCUCUAUAGAGGAAAGGUUAUCCUUCGAGGGCACCUCUCAACUCUAUAAUGAUAUGUUCACCUCUAGGGGCCAGGGGCCUUGCUUAUAUAGCCUCCUCCUUUGUGCCUUUUUGGUUCAGCAGGCGAUGUGGUACUAAACUUUCCACCAUAUCUCAUUAAAAUGCACAUAGGUCGUAAUGGACCAAAAUCUGAUUUGGGCCCAAUUAAUCCCGCAGCUCUUUUAUGUGGAGUCCUUCUUUUAUUAAUAUCUCUUGAUUCUGAACUCCAAAUAUAGCAAAUAAUAUAGGCAUUUUGAUCAGCUCGAUGAGAUCUUUGUAAUGGUGUAAUCCAUUAUGUGAUUGGUGCUUGUACCAGGGCGGGCGCCCUAGGAACAAGGGCGGGUGCCCCGGCCCCGGGCCCGUCUCGGCUCCGCUUCGGUCGAGUUGCUUCUAGAGUCUUUCUGAGUAUGGAAAAUUACCGCACACAUUAAUUCUCUAUGUAAACCCGACGUGUGGGCCUUUCCUUCGUAUUUCCUGAUAACCCCCUACAGAAAUGGAGAAACACCAAAACUCAUGGAAAUCUGUCAGAUGAAAUCCUAAGUCUAGUUGUCGGUUGCAUUUCGAUCCAUUUUCAUGAUUAGUUGACGGUUAAAUGUGAGCAUUAAGGACCGUCAACAGUGAGGCAAGUUAUAUUCAGGGACCUAGAUAGAUUUGAGCUAGUCAAUGAUGAUCUAUGAAACAUAUGAAGUUGGUGAUGCCUUUCAGCUUAUAAAGAUUUUGCAUUCAAUCCGCUUGUAAUCUUCUUUGUAAAAUGAGAUGUCUUGUUCUUGUACCUCAUCAUUCUUAAGCUCCUAAUAUGAGUUAUGAGUUGUUCAUCCAGAUGUUUAGUCUUAUUUGAGGUGAUCGAUGGAACCUCAGACGAAGCAUCUAUGUUGUCCUAACAUUAAGUGGUAGUGCUUACCUGUGAAGCGAUCUUAAAUACUUCAUACAGAAUGAGUCGACACCCUUUGUGUAGUUCUCUCUUGCAACAUUCUCUCGACACUACAAGUAGUAGGUCAAGUCUGCUUAGGAUCCAUCUAUGGAGACCACAAAGAAGCACUAAGUGACCUAGAAAGUGUCAUGCCUGUUGACCUAUCAAAGCAAGGCAAUAGGAAACCGAGGUCCUAAGAUAAGACUUAUUUUUCACCAUGGAAUAUAUGAUGGACUAUCACAUGACAAAAUGCAGAACUUGAAAGUCAGAUGUAAAACCAUAUUGAUAUAUGGUCAAUUUCACCGACCCCUUGGUUUGUUUUGCUGGGAAGUGUUCAAGAACUUUCACCUGGAUAAACUUCUCGUCUUCUAACUUACGUCUCACACCAGCACUAAGAAAAUUAAGAACAUCUUAAUCUAUCAUUUCCAAUCAUUGUGUUGAUUCUCUCCCUGUUCCCCGGAAUGUCCAGCUGUGCAGCGUGUUGUCGAACUUGUAACCGCCAAAGGAAAACCUUGAAGAUUAUCUACCGACAAGAUGAGUGUUCUUAUACAGGAUUUUGGAAGAAAAGCUAACACUUGGUUUAAGUGGGGUAGCGUCCACUAAGAUCAUCACUCUCAAAAAUCUCUAAUUAGAACGACAUGGAGAACUAUAUAUUGAUCCUUAUCAUUCUUGCGAUGAACCCUUAUCAUUUUUGCCAACCUGCGAUCUUGGAUCUUACAUCUCAUAGGACUACAAAUGAUUAAGCGUGAAGACUAAAAAAAUCAAGUCUUUGUCAAAUUUUGCUAAUUCUUUAUCCUUUCAUCUACUAUCUUAUACAUAUCCGGAAUCAAGGAAAUUGCGAGCAUUAUAAUAUCUAUCUUUAUCUCCUAUGUAUCAUCUCUUGUUAAUAUUGGCUUCUUGCCCUUGCACCUUAUCUUAAUAAAGGAUCCAAAGAUCAAUCCUAUCACAUAUGUUUAUCUUUCGUUGUAACCAAUCUUUACCAUACUCUUUACCCUUUACGUCUAUAUUGAUCAUGUCUUGAAAGUCUCGAAACAACUUUUACGAUCUACUUUAUCUUUCUCUUUAGUUUCUUCAAAUCUCGGGACGAGAUUUUUGUUAAGUGGGGUAGAUCUAUAACACUCCAAAAUUUUUAUUUUGGAUUGUUAUUAGAAAACACUAAAUUAAAUAAGGAUUUAAAAUUUUUCUAAAAUAUUCCAAGUUUUAUUUAAUUAUUGAAUUCAAAAUGAGAGAAAAAUGUGGAAUUUUAAAUUUUUUAUAAAGAUAAGUGAUGAGUGUUUUAUUUAAUGUUGUGUGCUUUGUGGCCUACCUUUGUUUAGCUUCUGUGUGAAAAAAAAUGAAUUUCAAAUUUUCUAGCAAGCACGUUUAGGUCCUUUUGAUUUUAGGAAAGUUAAAACACUAAAAGUCCUUUUUGAAAACUAAUUUAUAUUUGAGUUAAAAAACAAUUUAAAAAGUUGUUUAAAAAAAAUAUAGAUUUUUGUUUUCACAGAUAGGUAAGAAAACAAUUCCAAAAUAAUCUCAAGGUAGUGAAUCAAAUUUUGGUUUUCAAUUUGUCUUGCAAAAUGUUUUCAUAAUCACAUUUGAUUUAGUUAAAAAUAAUAAUAAUAAGGUUUUCCCUUUUUCCCACCCCCUCCCACUGUCUAGCUCCCGGCCCAGCUCGCAACCGCGGCCCAGCACCCCGCCUCAGCCUGCUAGCAGGCACAGCAGUGUGGCCCGCGUGCGCCUCCCGCUUGGGCCUCGGCCUAGCAGUACCGUUGCCUAGCAGCAGCAGCGGCCCGCAACGCCACCUUGCCCUGAGCCUCUGCCAGCCGAGCCCCACACGUCAGCCGUCUUCCCCAACCUCCGUCCACUUCGGGCGGAUGAGAACGCCGCAGCCGCCACCCGAUCUUCCCCCAACGGGCACCACAAUGUUGCCCGGGCCUAUUGCCGUCUUCCUCUCUCAGUCGCGCGCACGCCCUCGCCGGAGUAGUGCGGCCGCCGCCGAGCCGCCCCGCCUCACGCACCCGCCUUCCCGGCCACUACCUGUCCCCGUAGAUGCGUGCACCGCGCUCGCCUUGCCGGGAUGAGCACGAUGGUGCCCUCGGAACGGCCUCCCAUGCACCACAGUGCCGUCACGGCGAGCCUCAGACAUGCGGCCAUGGCGCCGCCGCAGCUAGCCCCCCCCUCUGCCGCCGCGCACUAGCCCCGGUCCACCGUGGACCGGGCACCCCACGCCCGCACUCGGUCCACCGUAGACCGGCCAGUCCCGAGUCGAAACGUGGCAAGCUAGGCUGGCCAACCCGCGCCGCCCUGGCUCUUUUGCAAAAAGGCCGUCGGCCUUCGUAGUAAUCAACCCGCGGUCCAGCUAGUUAAAAAAGAAUUAAAUCUAGGUCCUUAGUUUUAGCAGUUUAGCCCCUGGAUCCAUUGGUUUUUAUAGAUUUAGUCCAAAAUGCUUUUAAAAUUCAGUUUUAAUUAUGUAAAAUACAAAAAAAAUAGUUCUGUUAAUCACAGUUUUGCCACUGAUCUAGUUUUGGCCAUAGAAUGCGCGUUUUAACUCCGAUUGAGCCUGUUCUUGUCGCGUUAGGUUCGUAUCGACGUAAACUAUGCUUUAGUAGCAAUGUUCACCAUGUCUGAUACUUUUAGAUUUCAUCAUAAAUGUUAUUUUGUAAAUGCUUAUUCAAUAAUCGUUGAAAAUCAAAAGCAACUUAGGGGUUAGUAAAUCUCUGAUCUUUUUCAUAAAAUAAGUACUAGUAUGUUCUAUGCCAACUUAAAUGCCUUUUUAGUUGUGAUCUACUUAAUCUAAUCUUAUUUUAUAAAUGCUCUAUAUAACUUGUCACAAAUUCCUUGUUUUCUGAUUAAAAGCAGAAAUGUGACUUAAAUGAUGUAGAAUGGUUUGUAAUUAGAUUUUGACUAAAGUUUAACUUCAGCUUUUAUAAUUCUUUAUAAUCUGGUCAAUUCAAAUUUGAGAUAUUUCUCUAAAAAGUCUAUCACCUUCUUAUAUGAAAUAAAUACGACCAGCGUAUAGUCGUCUUCUUCGUUACACGUUGAACCUCGAAAGUCGUGUCCAUUUAACAAUAGCUCCGGUCUCAAUCGUUCUUGCGUUGUCACGAUCGUAGCAACAAGCUGUGUCGUUUAGUACGCUCUCUGUCAAAGCUUUUCUUUUGAUUGAUGCUUGUUCUUAGUCGUGAUUGUCUGUUUGUCUGUUUGUGUUGCUUGUUUGUUCGAAUAGAAGAAGCAUGGUUUGUUAGCGCCCGAAUAUCAUGAGCUGAGGACCGACAGUUGAAGUAGAAGUUGGAGAUUAGAAGAAAGAAGCCAAAGAAUUCUGAGUAGAUAUACACUGGAAAUAAAGGCAAGUGCAGGCACCCUUUGAUCAUAUUUUACUUAUGAACUUUAAAUAUAUUUACUUUCCAUUGCAUGUGUCUUAAUACUACAAACCAUAAGGACAUGACUAGCCCUCUACUAUAUUCCUUGUACUCCUGGGUUUAUACAUGGGUAGUAUAGUGAACAGUAGAUAUACUUAGCUACUCUGCUCAUCUAUUCCAUAUAAUAAAUGAAAGUAAAUAAUCUUGCCUAAUGAAUUAUUCAAUGAUGAUUAAUGUUUAAAUGAUGAACAAUGGUCACUUUGGUGACGGAGAUGUUGCGGUGCUUGUGAGCAUCGUGGUUUGUUGAGGAAAGGGGGAGUGGGUACUGUUGGUUGGCCUGGUUGCCGGGCGUACCUGUCUCUGCUCUCCGUAAGGACUUAGUCAUGGAGCGACCCCCUGGGACAUACAGUGCAGCUCCAAGCAAUAUGGCUCUGGCUUGACUAAUUAGCAGGACCUCCACUAGUAGGGUGUUACUUUCCGGUUAGGCGUGAGGAAGUAACUUGGGUAAUGAAUAUUAAGUUGUCAGUUGAUCGGUAUGCAAUAGUUAUGGGUAUCAACUGCCGAGCGCCCCGGCCAAAACUUACGAGUGGCAUCCUAUUAGUUGGACCCUGUGAAAGGUCUCCUAGUGAGACCCUGCCUGCUCACCUUGGUAGUGUUUUGGGGAGUCGCGACCCCGGGCAAAUGGGAAUCACGACUUGGAGUGAAAGUGCACACCUCUGCAGAGUGUAAAACUGAUAUAUCAGUCGUGCUCACGGUCACGAGCGGCCCAGACUCUCACAUGAUGAGGAAAUUGGAAUCACAGGGAACUUAGAGGCGGAACUUGGUUGAGGUUGCUACCUCGUGCUUUGGCGGAAUGGCUAUUCCGUGUUGGCAGGAUUGCUAUCCUGUGUUCUUAAUUGGGAUUGCUAUCCCAUGACCUUAAUGGUUUUGCUACCCAGAGUUACUAUCCGAGGUUGCUACCUCGGUAAUCUUAAUAUAAUUAUUAUUAUAAUGAUGAGUAAUAAUAUUGUUAAUAUACUUUCAUCUAAUUAAGGGUUGGGAUGCUUCACUCAUAUUUAGUAAUAGGUUGUUUUAACAAAAGAAUUAUAAUAAAAGUUUACCAACUAAAAAGCUCACAGCAGUUAAAUAGUGUUAGCUUUUCCUUUGAUUAAGCCUUGCAUGUCAUUAUACUUUCUGCCUGUACUUGUUGAGUUCGGUAUGAACUCACCCUUGCUAUUUCCCCCACACCCCAGUGUGUAGUAAAGUGCUGCUCAGAAGAAGGAGAGAGAUGCUAUGAAGUUUUCUAGAAGUAUAUCAGAAGUGCUAGGUGUACGGAGCCCCCAGUCAACCGUCCCUAAGAAGAAUGGAGCCUAAGAAGUUUAGCUACUGUUUCCACGUACUCUGAUGUUUGUAAGUGUUAUUAUAAUUAUGUUUUCCGCUAUAUAUAACAUUGUUUCUGAUAUUUCUAUUCUUUGUUGUAUGUGUGGACUUCCUGGGCACACACAUGACGACUCUGGUCUUAUUUUAAAAGCCAGGGUGUGACAAGUAGCGUGUACCCUCCUAUCAAAUGGGCUGGAUGGUGGAGUAUUUGCUCUCGGGUGCCGCGAACCCGGUCAGAUCUUGGGAAAUCUAGUUUUGAGUUGACAUAUGCAAGAUUCAGUUCUACAUAUGUUGGGUGGUUAGGAACUCCAGCUGGAUUGCUAAGCGGUUCGAAUCGUCGUUGCUCCCCGAUUGGGAGACUCAAUCCAUUGACUCUCAUUGUAGUUAACAAUGCAAUUAAGUUAAGAAAGGGGGAAGAUGAAAAUGUCUCCGGGAGUACGGAUCCCAAUUCCCACACUCACAUUGACAUGAAGCUAUGGCCGUCGGAUAAAUAUCACUCUUGUUAGGAAUUAGUAAUUCACGAACUAGUUUGUGAAAAGCAACUAGAUAGACUGUCCUCAAAUUCGUCUGCCUCUCGAGGUGACUAGUUUGAGGCUAAAACUUGAAAGUAAGGAUCCACUAUUAGUAAGCUUUUAUGCAAAACAACUUGUUUCCUUGCUCACCCACUCCUUGUCUAUCCUAAAGCCUGCAUUCCUAAGUUCUCCCCUUUUCUGUCGGGUAUGUCUUGUUCUGUACUACCGUACUCUUGGUUCUUUAACCCCUGUUGCAGGUGCUGACUUGUGCUGCGAAUGGAGGUCAUGUUGGUAGGCACGACAUGAUUUGUCCACCUCUUCUACCUUAGAAGCUUCACCUAAGUUGCUUCCGCUACUCUACACACCUUUUGGGAACUUAGUUAAGUUUAUAUUUCAUCAUAUUUUAUAAAUUAAGUUAUGAAUCUUCUGCACAACGAUGUAAGUGUUUUUUUUGUAAUAAACAUUGUAAUGUUGUGGUAACUCUAUGUUGAUCUUGUAUGAGUUAUAAAAUGUGGAUGUUUCAGGGUCCUCCUAGAGCACCCGACAGACUAUCUGAGUUAUAUGACUCUCAUCUGCAGUAGUCAGAGGUCUUAAGGACAAUGUCAGGUGCAUGUGGGCCAUAUAAUUAGGGUGGUUCUGCCAUAGUUAACCUUCCCCAUACCUCUUUUACUGUAAGGCAAUGCCUCACAGUGAAAGAGGUAAGGUUCCAUAGUGACUGGAGUUGUAGAAAUAGUAGCUGACAUGCCCUGCUGUAGCAUGGGAGGCAUGGUGCACGUCACAUGGGGGGUACAAUCAUCAUGUGCUGGAAGCCUGGCUCUGAGGCCGAGGCUCGGGCGAGACGCAGAUUGCGCUUGAUGCUGGGGUUUUGGUGAAGGCGGAGAUUGCGCCCAAGACCCAGGGCUUGGGCAAGACAGAGUCUGUGCUUGAGACCUGUGGGGUCAGGCGAGACAGAGCUUGCGCUCGAGCCCAGAGGGUCAGGCGAGAUGGAGCUUGCGCCCGAGCCUGAAGGGGUCGGGCGUUUGUCUUACUCCAUUUUGCCGCUUUUUAUCCCCUUAAUUUGGGUAUCCUAUUUUAUGGUACCCAACAAGAUGCUUCUUGGUGUUAGCUUUCAGCAAUGCAACAAGGACAAAAAGGGAAGUUAAUAAUUGGCCCCAAAAUGAAAGAAUCUUCAAUCCACCCGACAAGUCUGGUCUUACCAGUCAACUCUCGGUUCUUUAUUCUCAGCUCUUCCCCAGCCUUCCUCUCACUCUACAAGAUAGCGUUCCUGGUCGAGCUGGUCCUUCUCCUUCUGGACGCGCUCCAGCUCUUCCUACAGACCUACAACGACAACAGUUAUCUCAACAGGAACAAAAAGGCGCGCAUCACGAAUGGCAUCAAUCACUAGUCUUACUCCUUUUUUCUCUAUCCUUAUCGGCUAGUUGCCGAGACAAGUCGACCACCCGCUCUUCUUGGGCAGCUCUCUCCAUAGCUACCUUCUCGGCCUCUAGCCGAAGGCGGUCCACCUCACCGGCCAAGGCCUUGUUUUCGGCCAUGAUUCCUUCAAUCUGGUCAAAACAUCUUUUAUGAUAUUUCACCGUCUUCAUCACAUCCCAUGGAGAAAAUAUAUACACACACAUGUGACAAGGUUAUGAUGGCACCUUCUAUUUCCAAGUUAGGAGAUCACUUACCUUAACUUCAUUAACAAGUCACUUGGCAGCUCGUUCUACUCUCUUUGUCUCCUUGAUCUCCGCGAUCUCUUGAUGGCCAUCCUAGUGGACCCCACGCUUACGCCAGUCAUAAAUAUGUUGGUGGCCAUCGCGGGGAUGCCCCUGGGUCUCUACCACAACAUCCUCGGAGCCAUCCUAGGUCUCCUCGCCUUGUACGCUCCUCCCCACCAUGGUCUAAGAAGCCAUCGGUCCCUUCCCAGGUCAGGAGCGUCGGGCGGUGUCCUCGUCUUGAUGGACGACUCCUCAGCAUGAGCAGGGGAUGGAGCUCUGGCCCCUCUUCUGCUCCACUUCUUGGUGGGGGGGGCAGCCACAGCGACCUCCUCCCUGGUCGGGGCAGCCGCAGCGACCUCCUCCCUGGUCGGGGCAGCCGCAGCGACCUCCUCCUUGGUUGGGGCAGCCACAGCAACCUCCUCCCUGGUCGAGGCAGCCACAGGUUGCGUAGUGGGCUGCUACGUGGUGACCUGCUCCAUGGUGGCCUGUUCAGUCGGCCUCGAACUCCCAACAGCGUUGGGGUCAACAUCCGAGGCUACACUACAAGUUUAUCCAACUAAUCAUAAGCGCUAGAAUUCUAACAUUAUGAAAGACAUAGCUAUAUUUUUCUACUUAUAGGUUGGAGCUCCUAUGCGAUGUCGAGAAGAUCCUGCGCUUGGCAUGGCCGGCCACCGCUGUUGGUUGCGCCUGGUCUGGACGCGACUUGUCUGGGGCCUGUGCUGUGGGUGGGUCUUCAGCGGGCCGUGCGCUGGGCGCUGGGACCAUCUCAGGGUGGCUACGAGGUUUGCAGACUAUGUCUAGGGCCGCCUCCUCUUCCUCCUCAUCAUCAUCAAUGACUCAAAGCAGUCGUUGAUGUUUCAGUGCUCGGGCACCUGAGGCCAAACCUUGGCCAGACAAGGGUCCUUGGGUCAACUCUGUCGCCAUCACCCCUGCUCGGGAUGGCCCUCCAGCCAUCAGUCUCUUAGCGGUGACCCUGUUGUCGGUGCCACGUGAUCGUCAUCUUCAUCUCUGCUGGUGUAUCGAUAACACCGAGCAACGUUAUCCAUAGGCGAGUCUACCCCCGCCAGGUGCUCUAUACCGGGCACCAGUGACACAUACACCGACGCCCGGUCAAUAUCUCCAUUCUGAGAAAUGGUGGUAAUAAGUUAUCGGAGGAGGAGAAUGACAACGAAUAAAAUUGCAGGUUGUGCAAACUUAUUAUUCCUUACCUUUGGAGCUGGUCGACCCAACUUGUAUGCGUGCAUCCUGUUGUCGCUACGCACAAAGUUGUUGUCUGCAAGAUUGACCAGUUCGUUGAUUCUGUGCUGGAUCUCUGGCUUCUCCAGGCUAUCCUUGUGCAUCCUAGUCGUAUCGUGGCUUCCCUGGUACUCAAAACUCUGGUGGACCCUCCUCUGACACGGCUGCACUCGCUGGCUAAGGAAGUUGCUGACCACGCCAGUACCAUCCAAACGCGACCACUCGAUCAGGUUCAUCAACUCUUCGACCUGACCAGAGUACUCUGGUCGGUCUGUCCAGCUAACUCUCUUCUCUGGAACAUAGCCGAUGUUGCAAAAUGUGGCACUGCCCGGUUCAUCUCGGAUGUAAAACCAUCUCUUAUACCAUUCAGACAGAGAUGUGUUCCAGGGGCAGUUGAGAUAGCGUUUUUUCAUUCCAUCACACAGAUUGAGGUAUACUCCACCAGCAAUCUUGGAGCCUCCAACUGCUCCCUUCUUCCUCGGGCAAAACAAGUAAUGAAACAAGUCGAAAUGUGGCUCGACUCCCACAAAAGCUUCAUAGAGAUGGAUAAAAGUUGCAAUAAGAAGAAUUGAGUUCGGGUGUAGAUUGCAAAUCCUGAUCUCAUAAUAGAGAAGCAAGCCAUGAGGAAACGGAUGGAUUGGAACCCCGAAACCCCUCUUAAAGAAGUCUUCAAAAAUGACAAUCUCACCAGCUCUCGGGUCUGGGUAGCUCUCUCGUGAUGGCACCCUCCAGCCGCCGAGUUCUUGAUUGUGCAGCAGCCCCAUCACAACGAGCUUGUUGAGCGACUUGGUGGUGCACCUGGAUUUCUUCCACUACUUGGCCAUCAUCUCAGCUCUCUUUUUUGAAUCACUCUUGGCCAUUUUGCUCCCGUAAAUGCGAACUGGAUCCAACUGGCUAGGAGAAGACAAGGAGGACAAAGGCGAAAGGCUGGUGUAUGCAACUGCCGGGUGAAGAUCCAGUACCACGACGCUUCGGAUAUUUAUAACAGGAGAGCCACCUCUUCCACUUCCCGAAUCUUAGGGAAAUGUGCGGUUUAUGCGACAAGAUUGGCGUUUCAGUUUCCAAUUUUUGUUGCAGUAAAUCUGCUGCAUUUUUCAAUGAUUGUUGGAACUACUUUUGUUUCAGUUUGCGUGAUGGGCGGCUGUGCUGUCAGAUUGCACUACUUUUCAUGCGCCGGACUGACAAGAUGGCCAGACGCCCUGUCACGUUGCAAAUUAGUUGAUGAAGGGACAUGGUGAUUCAAAACUCAAGCAAAGGGUUUACUGAGAUUGAAAGUUUGUUUGGACUUGUCCAGACUCUAGGGAAUGCACCGACCACCGAGCAUGGUAUGCUCGGGAACUGGUCGACCAGUCUGUUUAUAAAACUGGGGACUGCACCGACCACCGAGCACGGUAUGCUCGGGGACUGGUCUGUAACACCCUAGGUGUUAAGCAUGCACUUGGUUUCAUACAACUACUCAUAAGCAUUCUCAUCAAGCAUGGGCAUGAGCAUAGCAUCACAUGAGCAUAGUACCUUUUAAAUUGUGAUUUUAUGUGCUUGAAUUAAAUGAAAUUAAAUAUAAUAAAUUAAUAUACUUGCUUCAAAAUUGUUUGUGAUAACCAAAGUAAGUUGAACUAUGUUUUAGAAGAAUUAAGAAUAAUUUUGUGGAAUUUUUGGAGCUCAACAAUUUGAGAAAUGAAUUUUAUACCAAAAUUUCCAAAAUGAAUUUAUUUAAAAACCUAGAACAUGUUUUGAAUUGCAAUUCAAAUUCUAUUUGGAAUUUGGGGUUACAAUUUAAAACAAAGUUGUAGAGCUAUAUAUUUUGGUCAACUUUUAUUUUAGGGCCAUGUCUGAAAAAGCUUUUAAAUAAAUCAAAAAGGGGUUGGAACAUGUUUUGGAAAAGAAAUUCAAAAAAAAGAAAAGGGAAAGGGGGGCCCUAGCAGGCCGCCGCCUCGCUUCUGGCCCGCUGGCCGAAGCCGGCCCAGCCCGCGAGCGUGCCUUCCCCCUCCCCGCGUCCGCGCCCGCGUCCACGCGCGACGGCCGGCCACGCCGUGCCGCCGUGUUGAGCCGGCAGGGCUCUGCCGCCGCGUGGCGCGCAUGCGCCCCGGCCGCGCCCGCCUCUCCCUCCUCUUCCAUUUGCGCCUCUCCUCUCUCUCUCUCUCUCUCUCUCUCUCUCUCUCUCUCUCUCUCUCUCGCCUGAGCAGCAGCAGCGCCCGGACCACCGCCCGACAUUGCCGCCGAUGCUCGGAGCUCUCCCCCAUGGCAGCUCCGGCCUCCUCCUUCGAAUCUGCGGCCACCAAUGACCCCGCCUCGCUUCCUGCACCCCGCGCGCAAGCUCAACCGCUCUCGGUAAGCUCCGCUCGACCGUUAGGGCUUACUGGAGUGAGCCGGAGCUCUGGAGAUCUCUCGGCCCAUGCGGUUCUCCUCCUCCUCUCCACCAUUGGCCACGAUUCAAAGCGCAUUAGCUCCGCCUCGACUUCGCGCAUCUUUCCCCGCCCUCGGUUCACACUCUACCGCGUAGAGCUAGCCGGGCCACGGUGAGCAGCGCCGCCGCGUCUGCCAUGCUCGACGGCGAGCUAGUUCCGGUGCUCGAUAGACGCUGAAAUAGGUACGGCUAGGUUCGUCUCGCGCUCAGGAAGCCGUAGGUGCCCUUAGACUCGCCGGAAACCUCACCGACGGUGAGAUCCCGGCCGGUCCACGGCCGCGGACACACUGUGUGUCUGACGGGUGGGGUUAGCUGACCCACGGGUCCCGCCUCUCAGCGCCUCUGGGGGAUGUGUUUGGGGUGUACCUAGCGUUUCGAAUCUGUUUUGUUUUAUAAAUAUUUUCCAGAAAUUUGUUUAAAUAGUAUUUAAUCCAUAUCUUGAGAUCUACAGCUCCAAAAAUGAUGAAAUAAAGUUUGACGUGUUCCAUAAUUCAAGAUCUACAACAUAAUGUCCUUGCAUGUUAUGUUUGUACAAUUUUUCUGUGUAAAAAUAUUUAUUCCAUGAUUUUGCUGUUGUUUGGAAAAUCUGCAGUAAAUAAAAUAUAGCUCAAAAAAAUGUGAUUCUUGUUUUGCUAGCUUUGCAUGGAUGUUUAGUCUCUGGGAAAAAUAUGUAACACAAUAUUUGCUGUAGGAAUUAAUUUAUGAUGAAUUAAGUGCUUGCAUGGCAGUGGUUUAUGUUUUUUAAUAAAUAAUUGGAUCAUGCAAUUUAUCUAGAAAUUUUUGUGGACAUUUCUUAUGUUAGUAAGUAAUUUAUAAAAAUAUGAAAUAUGUUGUUUGACACUUUUUCACUAGUAGGGUAUUUACACUUAGUUAUGAGGAUUAACUUGUGAUUUUUUGUGUGGGCCAGGUUACUUGCCCAAAUGCUAUGAAAAUUUGGUGAUGAACUUUAUAAAUAACCAGUGACCUACUGUAAUUUUUGUAGAAUUUAUUGAAGCAUAGAAGUAUAUGCUACUGUUGUAGGAUAACAAUAAUUAAAUAAAUAAACCCUUGUUAUGCAUGAGAUGAAUAGAAUGCAUGUGUGUUUGGUGUAUCUUUGAAGCAUCAUGAUAACAUAUUGGUUAAUAAUAAUUUGUAGAAGAGAAUGCAAUAGAUGCUUUUGGUUACAUGUUCUUGGAUAUGUUGACUACCUUAUAAUAAUACGUUUCCUAUUUUAUCCGUUGGAACUCAUCUCCACGGGAGAUGGGGUUUGUACAUACUCAUCUAUGCAUCAUGUCAUGAUCAUUUUGUCUCUAGUUGCAUCACACUUCGGUCAUCUUGCACUCCACUCAUGAGCAUACAUGCAUCAUACAAGCUCGCAGGAGAACGAGGUGGGACCCGAGGAGUAGGAGGAGACACAGGAGCAGGAACUUCCGGGAGGACCAGAGCCGGAAGGAGAUCUGCAGGAGUGCCCGGACCACAGGCCUACCACCUUCGAGAGAGGCAAGCCCUAGAGCAUUCUAUGUCUACCUAUUCUCGCUAACUUAAUUUGUUAUAUCAUGAUUGUUUCAUAAUACUGCAUUUAAGUGAUAGGAGUUGCUUGAUACUGUUGAUGCAUAUUUACUCCUUGAUAUUACUAUCUGUUUACCUACCUUGUGCUAAGUAGAUAAGCUCGGAGUCUAUGCUUAGCUUGCUUAGCACGGUAGAAGUCGGGUGAUUUCCUGUCACCUGCGAGAUAUAGGUGGAUUCCUAAAUGUUAGUUGUCAAUGCUAUGGUGAAAAGUAACCAAGUGUGGGAAAGAAAUAUGAGACCGGGCAGGGUUUUAUGGUGGUGUUGACCGUAGUGCCCCUGCCUAUGUCGAUUAAGGAUCGAUCGUUGACGGCCCUCUUGUCAUGUUGAACGCAUGCCCCACUCUUAGCUGGAAGGAUAAGUCAUUCCGACCGCGAAGCCUGAACACUAUCUGGGCCGGGAAUCGACACGAUGUACGCGCUGUAUUGGUGCUGGUUGAGGAGAACGACGAGGGCGCGGUGCGCAACCUUGGUAUACCUUGGAUACCUCGGUCGCCGGAAUGGUCCUCAGGUACGGGCGGUGCCUGUCGAACCCACAAAUUAGUCCUAGAUAGUGUAAUAUGGUGAUCUUUAGCUCACUUGAUUAGUGAGUGUGGUUUGUGUGGGGAAAAAACUCACCAGCUGGUCAGAAAUCGAUUCGAAUAGCCAUCGCUCCUAGAUAGUGAGCACUUGACUUGAGCUUCGUCCUCGUAGUAAGGACUAUGAAACACUGUGGUUACAGUAACGAAAGAUUUGUGAAUGCUAUCAUAAGGUACUAUCAUAUCACAACAAUUGUUUGCAAUAGUACAUGUACAAAUCAAGAUGAUAGGUAAUAAUACCUAACUUGAGCUAAAUAAAAGAGAAGGGGAUGUCAGGAUAUACUUCUAGAUGGUUAACGCUUUUACGCAAAAGGGUCCAGCUAUCCCACUAUACAGCCUUCAAGAUCCUUGAAGAGUCUUUUAUUUUUGGUUUAUGAUGGGUAAGUCUAGCUGAGUACCUUCUCGUACUCACGGUUCCAUUCUAAUGUUGUUUUUGUAGAUGGUCAGAUGUACUAUGGGUAUUGCAUUCACUGCUUGUACCCAGCAAUGGGUGAUGACUAGAGCAAGGGUGAUGGUCACUCUACCUCUUCUUUUGUUGGUGUGGGAAUGACCGAACUAUGGCACUGUAUUAGACUAAGUGUGUGUGUUAUUUUAAAACUAUGAUGCUUCCGCUACUCUUGAACUUGGUUUGUAAUAACUAUAUUUGAACUCUGAUGUAAUCUCUGAAUGUUGCGAACUGGAUGUAUUUGUGGAUGGUGACCGCUGGACUUAUUACAAUCUUGGCUGUAUGUACGAAUGUGGUUUGAAAUCCUUCGAGAUUUGACGGACUACCGGGAUUAUAUGGGCUUAAGCUUGGCAAGUUGACUAUGCAAAUGGUCGCUAUCAGGCUUAAUCUCUUAUAAUUUGGGUAGUUCUGUUACAUGGUCAACUAGUCUAUUUAUAAAAUUGGGGACUGUAAUGACCACCGAGCAUGGUAUGCUUGGGGACUGGUCGACCAAUCUGUUUAUAAAACUGGGGACUGCACCGACCACCGAGCAUUGUUGUUGGCAUUUCUUAGCGUCACUACUCAAAAUAGACCAUAUAUCCAUCCUUAGAAAUGGCACCAGAAAUGUCGGGUGUUGGCAUACUGUAACUAUCGCUACAUCAGAGAGAUAACCCAAGGCAACUUGUGGGCGUUGUUGACGGUCCUUAAUGCUCACAAUUAACCAUCAAUUAAUCAUGGAAAAGGAUCCAAAUGCAACCAACACCUAGACUUAGGGUUUUAUCUGACAGAAUUCCACAAGUUUUGGUGUUUGUCUAUUUCUGCAGGGGGUUAUCAGGAAAUAUGGAAGAAAGGCCCACACGUCGGGUUUACAUAGAGAUAUUAACGUGUCGCGCAAUUUUCUAUCAUCUAGAAGACUCCAGAAGCCACGGAAACGAACGGGAAGGAAAUCGGGCUCGGAGGCAGGGCGCCCGCCCAACUCUCCUGGGCGCCCGCCCAGCUACAGUGCCCAAUCAGGACACGUUUCGCGGAUCAUGCUCCACCGACCUAAUACUUCAAGGAAAACUGUGCGAUCAAUGUCGGUUUGAUCCGAUGGCCCAGAUUCACUUCAAGGGACUAUAAAACCAGACCCCCCUGGCCCCUGGAGAUCAUACAUCUUCUACAGAAUCAAAGUUAGGGUUUCAAUUCUUCAUCCAAGUAGAGAGGAUCCCUCUAGUUCUUCUAGUUCUACCUCUAGUUCAUCUAGAUCGAGUUCUAGUUCAUCUAGUUCUAGUUCUAGUUCUAGUUCCUCUAGUUCUAGUUCUAGUUAGUUCUAGUUGUAAUGUAGAAAAUAGGGAGAGAGAAGAGGAGAGCGGAGGAGGAGCCGGAUCUGUCGGAUCUUCCUCAACAUUAUACUUUUGCAGCAUCUGGUUCGUUCUUCAUCGUUUUCCAGGUUCUUCAAUUCAUAAUUCCUGAGUUCUUUAAUUACUUUUAUUUACAUUCAAGUUAUUUAUUGGAUUCCCGCUUGCAUCAAGUGCUCUAGUCUUUAUAACGCUAGAGUAGUAAUUAAUAGAUUAGACGUGGUGUUUAGUCUUGCGAUUACCUGGAAUUGCACCCAAUCCUGCGGAUUGUUGUGGUAGCCUUAGGGUAGUGACAACCCUAACGGUCGACGUAUUCCACCACGUUCGGAUCGGUGUUUGUAGGACCGUAGUCAGACCUUCCUAGCCCCCUUCUCAUCUCUUUCUGUGGUUAGUGCUCUGAUGUCCCGAUAUAGAUAAUCUUGAAGUAAUUCUUGAUUCUUAGAUCAACUAGAGAACUCUCAGGAAACUUCCUCUCUUCCCACCAAAAAUAAUUAUAUAGUUAUCCUUGGGCGAUCUUCGAUUUUAAUUAGUACACUCACGUUCCCUGUGGAAAAUCGAUACUCUGGAAUACUCCUGGGUGAAAGCUACAUCGGUAUCCGUGCGCUUGCAGAUUUUUCUGUUUGCGUUUAAAAUACCCAACAAGCUUUCUGGCGCCGUUGCCGGGAAACGGUAGCUGUGCUAGUUUCGAACCAAGUCGUCCGUGUAUCCUUUUUCUUUUCCUUUUUUACCAAACUCACCUUAUCACUUUCACCAUACCACAUGGAUUUCACUCUAAGCAUUAAUGAGCAUGGAAUUUAUUUCAUAGCCACUUCAUUUACUCCAUGCUUAUAUGCAACAUCUUCACAAUCCAUUGGUCUCUCCAACAUCACCACAUUCGAGAUCUCCAACCCCCUCAUCCUUUCUAUUUAUAAAAACUUUAAAAGGGUGGUUGUCGAUGCAUAUGUCUAUAUUAAAUAUUACAGAUCUCGUCGAGUUGAUCUUGAUAUAGGUCAGCGUUGGAGGGGAAACCACUUCACAGACAUAAAUUGAUGGUUUCCCAAGGACAAGCUUAGCGUCCUAAAAUAAGCACUGAUCAGACCAUAACAUAAACUUUUAAUUAUUUGCAACAUUACCUUGUGUGUUGAGCAUAUCAGGAUAAUUGUAAAAAUAUUCUUUCGGGUAUUCUUGUCACUAACCUUUCCAGGAUUGGAGCAAGAAGAUCGGAUGAAUGACAAGCACAUGGUAUGCACAACCAAUCAUCAUACAACAUUGAAUUAAAUUCAUCCAAACUUGAAUUUUGCAAAAUUCAAGCUUGGGGGAGUACUUUACAUAAAAACAUCCUUUGCCAUGUUGCUAUGUUGGUUGUCCCUACCUUUGAGACAUGCUCAAUUUGUUAAAAACUAAUCACACUACUUCAUCUCCACUUGAGUAGAUCUCUAUAAAUGCUCUCUUGCUACCUUUAUUUGCUUUAGUAUAUGUUUAGGUUUGGAGUAGUUUUAUUUAUCUCUUAAUUAAGCAUGGUGCUUAGUUUAGGGCUGAUGAUCUUACUUCCAAGGGAGUUUAAAUUAAGCAUGGUGCUUAGGUUAAAAUGCCCUCCAAAAUCAAAUUAGACAUGGUGUCUAGGUUGAUUUUUGAGCCGAUAGUAUGCUAUAGUAGAUAUUGUAUAUUUUGUUGGACUAAGCCCUGCAGGAAAACUUUCAAUAUCGACCUGGGAAGUCCUGAGAUAAACUCACAUUAGAGACAAAGAGAGACACACAUGAAGUUUAACAAUUUACACAAGGAAGGCAUAGCUCACAAGAGAUGAUCCAUGGAGGGUGCCACAAACAUGAUGCACAACCGCUAAGAGAGGAAAGCUUCCACAAGGUGAUACUGUACCAUCACUCUUCAAGUAAAGGUAACAUCUUAAGGCACUUGACUAUCACUUCUAUAAGCUUCUCCUUUGUUCUGGCGUUCACAUGAAUAAAAGAGACAAACAUGUAUGAUUUACAACUCUAGAUUAACCAACCUAAUCGAUUCAACAUGUUUAGUCCUUCCACCUUUGUGAUCCCAUACUCCUAAUCAUAUAAGCUAAAAUGUUGCACACUCAAUCUUUGGAAGAUAUAAACAAAACAUAUAUAUAGAUAGAUUAUCUUUUCAUAAGGUUGAGCAAUCUAAUCUGACAAAUGUUAAAUACUACACUCAUGAUUUUAUUAUCCAUCAACUUUGUCUUGCUCACUAUGCUUGAGGUUAGAGAAGAACAAAUACACUUUUGGUUCUGUUGGUGUUUUCCACCAACAGAGCCCAUGCACUUGAUCUCUGCCUUGUCUCUAUGAGCAGGUACACUUCGAGCAACAUAUGAAGGACUUUUACAACUCCCAGACUCCACCAAGUGAAGAACCUAGAUCUACGAGCACAAACACACUGGAGAGACUGGACACUCAGACAAUCACUUCCCUGAGAUGCUUGAGGACAUAACUACUGGAGUAACCCGUGAAAGUAAUUACUGACCUUCUGCCGGUCAAGAGAGGCGAUCCAGGACGCACCGUCAUCCCGAUCUCCAUCGGCAUGGUGGACUUCCUAGAAGCACUCUGUGACUUUGGCUCCAGCGUUAACAUUAUGCCCAGGCUUGCAGAUCGUACGCUAAGUUUCCCAAAGGGAAUAGUGAAGAACCUCUGCGUCCGAGUUGGUACCUUGUACACCCCAGCAGACUUCGUGGUGAUAGAAACUGGUACUAAUGAGAAGGCACCCAUCAUCAUACGGAGGCCAUUCCUGAACACCUCGGGAGCUGUCAUCUACGUUAGUGCUGCCAAGAUCAGUUUCUACAUCAAGGGGAGGAAGGAGACGUUUUCCUUCAAGAACAAGACUACACAAAUCUCAGAGCUUUCCCGACAUGAACCAAGGAAGAGGACCAACAGGAGGAACAGGAACAAGCAAAUGUGGACUGAGUCAGCUAAGAUGGUCACUGCAGCUCAAGGAGGUCAAGAUCGUCAACUCAAGUCGCCUUUCUAGAUCAAGAAGGACGACCCUGGUGUUCCAAGCAUCGAGUGCACAAUCAACGGAUAUUCUUUUCAGAAGACACUCUACGACACCGGAUCUAACGUCAAGAUAAUGGCCGCAGUCACUUAUCACCUCCUGUAUGGAACCAUGCCCCCACAACCAACAUACAUUCAGCUCCAGAUGAUUUUAAGGUUAUUGACAUGGGAGAAGACGAGUACAAUCCACCCAUCACCCUUGAGAGACCAUUCCUCAGCACCGUUAAAGCAAUCAUCUACAUUGGAACCAGCGGAGUCCACAUGUAUUUCCCCUCUGAGAAGGUACGCCGCUAUUUUACUGACCCUAACUAUAUAGUUGAAGACUCUAAGCAGGUCAGGACAAGAAGAAGACAACGCAACCGCAACCAGAGGAGCCAAAUCAUCAAGGACGGAUGGGCAGACUACGAAGGAGAAGUAGUGAGGUCUGAAGACAUACAGCUUGAACAGAACUGUCCUGAGGAGACUGUAGCACCGAGUCAGGUGUGGGGAGAGAAUAUAGUUAUACAUGAAAAGCAGGCGCCACCGGAACCACCGACUACGUCAUCCAGCGAAUCCCAGGACAACUGAGAAAACGGAGAGUCCCGUUCGGAGGACUUAAAAAAACCGAACGCCUUGCCAAGAGGUAACUUGGUAGUUAUCUUUUCCCUUUCAAUUAUUUAAAAUAGUUUGCUUAGUUAAUCAGGUUCAUAUCAUCUUGAAAAGAAAAUAAAAAUGUUAAAAAUAGUAAGCCCCAUGUGAGUAUGCUCAUGGCAUAAAACCCAUAAGUACAUUCAGUGUGGUGGCGUAAAAAUGAAAUAAAUAUAUUCCUGUCCUAUAAAAAUAAAAUUAUAAAAAUAAAUUUAUGAUCCUACUAAAGAGAGUAACAUUUAUUAAGGAGGCUCAACAUGAUGAAGGCUAGAUAUUUAUGCUAACACUUAACCAGUUCCACAAAGCUUUGUUGUCUAUUUGAGAUCCACAGAAUUCUAGGAUCAAAGAAGACUAGCAGACGGAGGAGAUCCUAAUCACUGUCAGGGUGCUGCUGACAUUCAAAUACACCUCCACCACCUGCUACAUCAGAAGAAAUUAUGUCAAAAUCCAGCUUGGGAGAGAGCACCCCCAUUUAUCCAGCUAAGUAUUCUACUCACGUUUAUACUUUACUCUAAUAAUAAAAUGAUGCAUAAUCAUAGAAACCCAAAUAAAGAUUUUGUGCUUAUAUAUAUCUUUGCUUAGUUUGCUAAAUAAAUAAAUAAAUAAAGUUUGCUAUGAACCCUCAUGAUAAGCUCUCACAUGGAAAUGAUGAAUAGUUGCUCUACCAUGACUAGUUAUCAAAAUUGAAAUCUCUCUCAAGUUUAGGCAUGACUGUUAUUAAUUAAGAUUUGCUCUAAACCUGAACUUGUGGGGAGAGUACUUGAUCUAAAGUCUAAGUCGUUAACGGAUAUGAUUUGGGAAGGUUGAGCUGUUGUUUAUCUGUUCCUAGAGAUGCUAGAAUUCUGGAGAAUUUAUCUUUGAAAAAUCUUUAAAAUGUUGCAUGAUGAGUUCCCGUAUGAUGAGAGUUUAAAUUCCUACCACAGCCAUAUAUACAUGCUUGCUAGACUUUGAGCCACACAUUUACUUUUUACUGCUUAUGAGCAUUGAGUGUGGUCAAGCUGUGUAGACCCUUAGGAGCUUGUCAUGUGGUUAAGUCAAGAUUCACUUGCACGUUCACUCAUACAUGCUGCUUCUACUCUGGAAGUACGCAUCCACAUAUAUCCACCCAUUUCCAUCUCCAGAAUCACCUAAAAAUAUUCUACUCCUAAUCCGGGAGAGAAUAGCCAAAAACAUUUCUGUUUUUCCCCUGUGAAAUAAAUGCUCAAGUUAUCUUGGUUACUACCACUUGCUACAUUAUUUCAAGAGAUGAGUGCUCUAAUAUAAAAAAAAGAAAAAAAAGAGAUACGAGGAAAUAAAAAGGGGCAAGUGCCCGGAACCUCGAAAGAAAAGAAAAAGUGAGACGAGAGGUAAAAAUGGACAAGUGUCCGAUAGUAGAAUUAGGGGUACAAGUUACCCACCUGAGAGAAAAGAAAAAUAAAAUAUAGAGCAUCUCAUUCUCCCCAAAAGUUUCAAAAGAGCAAGGAAGGUAUGUAUCCCCUCAAAAGAGCAAAAGUAGAAUUAGACUUUCACCAUUGUUAUCACCAUCAUUACCAUGCAUCAUUCAUUCGCCACACAUGCACAUCUUGAUUUGACUUAUUGACUUGUUUCUCUGGAUCCAUGGUUUGACUAUGCAAUAAAUGUCUUGUAAGUAUGUAUUAGCUCUCUCACCUAUGAGCUCCAGAUAUCAAAACCUUAUUAGAGUAGGGUGAGAGAGAAGGCAAUGCCACUAUGCCUUAUACCACAAAUACCACAUACUUUGAGAGAAGGCAUACACCAUUAAUGCCUUGGUAAGGAUCCAGAAAAAAGAGAGACUAGAGAGAGUCAUACAAGGAAUCUCUGAGUUUUAUUUGAAAAUCUGCAAAAACUCCAGAGCUAUAGCUGAUCAAGAAUAAGAGACAUGGUGCUUGACUUGACCGUUCUAUCUUUUAACUGCUCAAGACACAAGUGACGGUUACAAGCCCCAUGGUGGAAGGCAAAAUGAGUAAGUUUAAAUCUUAACAGUUUACCCUAACCCAGAUAUGAGAUCUUUUUGAACGCAUGUGUAUCUUUAAGGUAUGAAACCACUGCAGAAACUCUUGAGUUCAUCUUUGCUUAGGGACGAGCAAAGGUUAAGCUUGGGGGAGCUUGUUAACGGUCCUUAAUGCUCACAAUUAACCAUCAAUUAAUCAUGGAAAAGGAUCCAAAUGCAACCAACACCUAGACUUAGGGUUUUAUCUGACAGAAUUCCACAAGUUUUGGUGUUUGUCUAUUUCUGCAGGGGGUUAUCAGGAAAUAUGGAAGAAAGGCCCACACGUCGGGUUUACAUAGAGAUAUUAACGUGUCGCGCAAUUUUCUAUCAUCUAGAAGACUCCAGAAGCCACGGGAACGAACGAGAAGGAAAUCGGGCUCGGAGGCAGGGCGCCCGCCCAACUCUCCUGGGCGCCCGCCCAGCUACAGUGCCCAAUCAGGACACGUUUCGCGGAUCAUGCUCCACCGACCUAAUACUUCAAGGAAAACCGUGCGAUCAAUGUCGAUUUGAUCCGACGGCCCAUAUUCACUUGAAGGGACUAUAAAACCAGACCCCCCUGGCCGCUGGAGAUCAUACCUCUUCUACAGAAUCAAAGUUAGGGUUUCAAUUCUUCAUCCAAGUAGAGAGGAUCCCUCUAGUUCUUCUAGUUCUACCUCUAGUUCAUCUAGAUCUAGUUCUAGUUCAUCUAGUUCUAGUUCUAGUUCCUCUAGUUCUAGUUCUAGUUAGUUCUAGUUGUAAUCUAGAAAAUAGGGAGAGAGAAGAGGAGAGCGGAGGAGGAGCCGGAUCUGUCGGAUCUUCCUCAACAUUAUACUUUUGCAGCAUCUGGUUCGUUCUUCAUCGUUUUCCAGGUUCUUCAAUUCAUAAUUCCUGAGUUCUUUAAUUACUUUUAUUUACAUUCAAGUUAUUUAUUGGAUUCCCGCUUGCAUCAAGUGCUCUAGUCUUUAUAACGCUAGAGUAGUAAUUAAUAGAUUAGACGUGGUGUUUAGUCUUGCGAUUACCUGGAAUUGCACCCAAUCGUGCGGAUUGUUGUGGUAGCCUUAUGGUAGUAACAGCCCUAACGGUCGACGUAUUCCACCACGUUCGGAUCGGUGUUUGUAGGACCGUAGUUAGACCUUCCUAGCCCGCUUCUCAUCUCUUUCUGUGGUUAGUGCUCUGAUGUCCCGAUAUAGAUAAUCUUGAAGUAAUUCUUGAUUCUUUAGAUCAACUAGAGAACUCUCAGGAAACUUCCUCUCUUCCCACCAAAAAUAAUUAUAUAGUUAUCCUUGGGCGAUCUUGGAUUUUAAUUAGUACACUCACGUUCCCUGUGGAAAAUCGAUACUUUGGAAUACUCCUAGGUGAAAGCUACGUCGGUAUCCGUGCGCUUGCAGAUUUUUCUGUUUGCGUUUAAAAUACCCAACAGGCGUCGGCCAUAGCAGUGCAGUCUAGUAACAAUAAUUAGGAAUGUUGGUGUUGACAGUCCUCAAUGCUCACAUUUAACCGUCAACUAAUCAUGGAAAAGGAUCCAAAUGCAACUAACACCCAGAUUUAGGUUUUUAUCUAAUAGAAUUCCACGAGUUUUGGUGUUUGUCUAUUUCUGUAGGGGGUUAUUAGGAAAUACUGAGGAAAGGCCCACACGUCGGGUUUACAUAGAGAUAUUAACGUGCCGCGCAAUUUUCUAUCAUCUAGAAGACUCCAGAAGCCAUGGGAACGAAUGAGAGGCCGAGAGGGCUCAGGAACAGGGCGCCCGCCCUACUCCUUAGGGCACCCGACCACCUUUUUCCACCAAUCACGAUCAACUUUGUGGAUCGUGCUCCACCGACCUAAGGGAUCAAGGAAAACCGUGCGAUUGAUGUCGGUUUGAUCCGACGGCCCAGAUUCAUCUAAAAAGACUAUCUAAGCAAGGCCCCCUGGCCCCUAGAGAGCAUACCUCUUCUAUAGAAUCAUAGUUAGGGUUUCAAUUCUUCAUCCAAGUAGAGAGGAUCCCUCUAGUUCAUCUAGUUCUAGCUCUAGUUCAUCUAGUUCUAGUUCUAGUUCAUCUAGUUCUAGUUCAUCUAGUUCUAGUUCUAGUUCUUCUAGUUCUAGUUAGUUCUAGUUGUAAUCUAGAAAAUAGGGAGAGAGAAGAGGAGAGCGGAGGAGGAGGAGCCGGAUCAGUCGGGUCUUCCUCAACAUUGUACUUUUGUAGCAUCUGGUUCGUUCUUCAUCGUUCUCUAGGUUAUUCAAUUCACAAUUCCUGAGUUCUUUAAUUACUUUUAUUUACAUUCAAGUUAUUUAUUGGAUUCCCGCUUGCAUCAAGUGCUCUAGUCUUUAUAAGCUAGAGUAGUAAUUAAUAUAUUAGAUGUGGUGUUUAGUCUUGCAAUUACCUGGAAUUUCACCCAAUCCUGCGGAUUAUUGUGGUAGCCCUAGGGUAGUGACAGCCCUAACGGUCGACGUAUUCCACCUCGUUCGGAUCAGUGUUUGUAGGACCGUAGUCAGAGCUUCCUGGCCCCCUUCUCAUAUCUUUCUGUGGUUAGUGUUCUGAUGUCCCGAAAUAGAUAAUCUUGAAGUAAUUCUUGAUUCAUAGAUCAACUAGAGAACUCUUAUGAAACUUCCUCUCUUCCCACCAAAAAUAAUUAUAUAGUUAUCCUUGGGCGAUCUUGAAUCUCAAUUAGUACACUCACGUUCCCUAUGGAUAAUCGAUACUCUGGAGUACUCCCGGGUGAAGGCUACAUAGGUAUCCGUGCGAUUGUGGAUUUUUCUAUUUGCGUUUAAAAUACCCAACAGUUGGAUUGGCCUUCCUAACCAUCCUUACUUGCGAUAUGCAAAGCUAUGGCACUACGCUUGUAAGUGCACAAGGAUUACAAUCUUAAGUAACGGUACUUAGGUACGCUAAUCGAUAGUUCAUGAAUGAAGAAGUAAUAUAACUACAAGCGGACAGAACUAUCAUUGUAGCAUUUCAACCCAUGAGUAUUCAAGGGUGUCGAAUUUAUAAUUCCCGUAGGAAGGCAAAGGGAUCAAACAUGGUGUAAACAUGAUUACUUAUUGAAUGCUUUGUAGACAUAGAGUAAACAGUAAUAAACAUGAUAUUAAAGAUAGUGGACACACAUUGGAUCAACCUCAAGGAUAAAUUAUAAGACAAAUAAUAAAUAAGGAAUAAAGAAAUAAAUCUUCUGGAGCAGGCAUGGGUCACAUAUAACUAUGCAUAGAACUGUUAGCGGAUCAUCUAAUUAGCUAUAAAUAGAGUUAGAACUAAGCCUGAGAUGAGGAGAGAUCCCCGCAGCUGGAUACCCAGCCGAUAGAGACUUUACAGAACUCCUACCAGAAUACCUGAUCAUGGGGGAUUACAAAGGAUGGACAGGGCUGUCACUACCCUGCCACCUACCCCUCCGCCCAAAAGAUACUCGCAUAUCCGCUGAUCUCCGCAUACCUAAGCACCACGCCUGUGUAAUUGGAAACAACUCCUAACCCCCAUGGACCCCACCCCUUCGGAGUGACAGGCUAAGUUAGGAGCAGCCACCACAGUCCAACGAACCGUCAUCUCAUCCCUAAUUCUAAUCCUAAUCAUACUAAUCUGAUGAACAAUGAAGAACAAUGAUGAACAUAUCAAGAACAUAGCACAAAAACUAAGAACUAGUUCAUAUACUAUGAACAUGAUAAGAACACAAUCAUACUCUAGUUCAAAUGUAUAAUCACAUAAAGAUAAAUAGAACUUGCUCAUGGAAGAAGAUUGAAUAUUAUUCAUACCAAGAAGAUCCUUUCUUCCAAGGAGACAAACUCUCCUUGCUAGCUCUUGCCUUGCUGUACUACUAAUCUAGACUAAAGAUACAAGUGAGAGGUGUGAGGUAAAUUGACUCCAAAUGUUGUGUCCCUUAUGGGGGCACCCUCCCUCUCUUUUAUAGCCCAAGAGGAGGAGGCUCUAUGCAAAAAGGGCGAUCCCUACAUAGAAAGGUCCAAAGCCGACCUCCAAGGGCGGUUUCCACUUUCCAUCUGCGUUGAUCGUAGGUGGAACCAUCCUUAGGAAACCGCCUCGCACGUUCCUCUAGAAGGCUAUGGCCAGGAGGGCCCACUAGUGGUGCGGCCGCACACUGGUGCGGCCGCACCCCUCACGGUGGCAUUUGCCAACCUCCUUCAGGUGGUGGGCUCUGCUCUGGGCCUGGACCUCCCCCGUGGUUACGGAUGGAUUUGAUUCGGUGUUUUGGUGGGCUUUUCCCUUUUAUCAUGAUUUGCGCCUUUUCUGAAUACGCUUUCUCGAAUUGCGCUUUCUCGUGUCUUUUGCACCUUUCCAUGUGUUCCUAAAAUUGACAUUCACAACAAAACUUGUGGAAAGGUUAGUUAAAAGCCCUACCAUCUAUUUAUUUUACUUAUUAAAUGAUGUUUAUAAUUAUAGAUAAGGGGUACCAACAACUCCCCCACACUUGGUCCUUUGCUUGUCCUCGAGUGAAGGCACUAAGGACCAAGUGGGUUCAUCUUCCUUGUCAAAGGAAUCUGCAUACAGGUUAUUCCAAGCUUCACCUGGAUUUAUGAACUUCAAAGUGUCUACCAAGCUAUCUUGGGUAAUUGAAACAUGGUACAGCCUGGAUUCAAAUCCUCUUACACAGUCCCUACGCAGAAACAUGGGGUUUUGCAUGAUUUUGAAAAAGAAAGAUAUCAUAUGUUUCUUGAAUGAUGCUCUCAAGUCGCUCAUAUAUGUGAGUGGUUCCUUACCAAGGCAUAGAGGGUUGAUGCCUUCUUUUUUAUCAUCCUACCUCUAAAAGGCUUAUCUGGAUUUUUGGGUAGGUAUGAUAGUAGUGGAACUUACUUACCCUGCCUAUGUUGUCGAGUCCAACCCAAGACCAUACCGAAGGGAGUGUGUCAUACCCUUAAAUCAGAAUGUGCAAGUGUGUGGAAUUUUUGGUGGAAACCUAUCAUUACUUUAUUUUUUUGGGGCACUCCUUGCAUCAUGACUCUCUUUUGAAUGAGACGGAAAACUUUGAAGGACAUGGGCUAUAAUAUAACAAUAUAUUUUUUGAACGGGUAUGAAUCUUUUCCCGUUUGCCUUUGGCUUUUUCUCAUCUCUAUUUUUUUUACUAUAGCCCAUUCCUCUGCUUCUAGCGAAAAUGAAAGAGAGCAUUAUUAUAACAAAUGCAAGGAAUGUAACUUAAUGCGCAAUUCUCAAAGUGAGAUAUUGGUAUUUUUGUUUGGUGGAUAUAUGGGCGCAACUCUCAGUGUAAGAGUUGGCGUAUUUUUCGGUGGAUGGAAAAAGCAUGUUGUGCGUGACUUCUCAGUGUGAGAGUCGGCUUUAUUUGGUGGGUGCAAGUGAAUUCUGAUCUUGGAGGCAUGAAACAUCUCUUGACAGUGGUCGAAAAAUUUGACCAAACUCAACACAGAGUAAAGCAGAAUAUGUAGAAGGUUUCAUCAUGAAGAGUAAAUAUUUGGCCAUGGUAGGAAUAAAGCUUGAUCAUUCAAGGAACGUGCCAUUGAAUUUUGUUUUGUUUUUUUGUAAAAGAAAUCCCAAGUACUUUGCAAGAACUAGCAAGAAUCAUGUCAUCCUACUAUAUCACAUAUGUCAAUUACUUAGAUAAAAUGGGGUCGCUAUAAACAGUGUUCAUAAACCUCUAGGGAUUUUAGAUAAGAAUAAAAAGUAUGCAAAAACUUAUUUGAACAUAGGAGACAUGUUUGAUGGAGUAUGAAGGGUACAUCAUUUAAACAUUUUCUUUUGACAAAUCUUUUUGAGUUGUGAAAGGGGGAGAAAAAUGCACAAACCGAAAUUUGAAUGUUUGUUGUGCAGUUGAAUGUUGACGGUCCUUAAUGCUCACAUUUAACCAUCAACUAAUCAGGGAAAAGGAUCCAAAUGCAACCAACACCCAGACUUAGGGUUUUAUCUGACAGAAUUCCACGAGUUUUGGUGUUUGUCUAUUUCUGCAGGGGGUUAUCAGGAAAUACGGAAGAAAGGCCCACACAUCGGGUUUACAUAGAGAAAUUAACGUGCCGCGCAAUUUUCUACCAUCUAGAAGACUCCAGAAGCCACGGGACCGAAGCGGAGGCCGAGAGGGCUCAGGCACAGGGCGCCCGCCCUAGUCCUGAGGGCGCCCGCCCAGGUACAGUGUCCAAAUCGGACCCGUUUCGCGGACCACGCUCCACCGACCUAAAGGAUCAAGGAAAACCGUGCGAUUAAUGUCGGUUUGAUCCCACGGCCCAGAUUCACUUGAAGGGACUAUAAAACCAGACCCCCAUGGCCUCUAGAGAUCAUACCUCUUCUACAGAAUCAAAGCUAGGGUUUCAAUUCUUCAUCCAAGUAGAGAGGAUCCCCCUAGUUCUUCUAGUUCUACCUCUAGUUCACCUAGAUCUAGUUUUAGUUCAUCUAGUUCUAGUUCUAGUUCCUAUAGUUCUAGUUCUAGUUAGUUCUAGUUGUAAUCUAGAAAAUAGGGAGAGAGAAGAGGAGAGCGGAGGAGGAGCCGGAUCUAUCAGAUCUUCCUCAACAUUAUACUUUUACAGCAUCUGGUUCGUUCUUCAUCGUUCUCCAGGUUCUUCAAUUCAUAAUUCCUGAGUUCUUUAAUUACUUUUAUUUACAUUCAAGUUAUUUAUUGGAUUCCCACUUGCAUCAAGUGCUCUAGUCUUUAUAACGCUAGAGUAGUAAUUAAUAGAUUAGACGUGGUGUUUAGUCUUGCAAUUACCUGGAAUUGCACCCAAUCCUGCGGAUUGUUGUGGUAGCCUUAGGGUAGUGACAGCCCUAACGGUCGAUGUAUUCCACCUCGUUCGGAUCGGUGUUUGUAUGACCGUAGUCAGACCUUCCUAGCCCCUUUCUCAUCUCUUUCUGUGGUUAGUGCUCUGAUGUCCUGAUAUAGAUAAUCUUGAAGUAAUUCUUGAUUCUUAGAUCAACUAGAGAACUCUCUUCCUACCAAAAAUAAUUAUAUAGUUAUCCCUGGGCGAUCUUGAUUCUUAAUUAGUACACUCACGUUCUCUGUGGAAAAUCGAUACUCUGGAAUACUCUCGGGUGAAGGCUACAUCGGUAUCCGUGCGCUUGCGGAUUUUUCUGUUUGCGUUUAAAAUACCCAACAAGCUGUCUGGCGCUGUUGCCGGGGAUACGAUAGCUGUGCUAGUUUCGAACCAAGUCGUUCAUGUAUCAUUUUUCUUUUCCUUUUUUACCACACUCACCUUAUCACUUUCACCAUACCACAUGGAUUUCACUCUAAGCAAUAAUGAGCAUGAAAUUUAUUUCAUAGUCACUUCAUUUACUCCAUGCUCAUAUGCAACAUCUUCACAAUCCAUUGGUUUUUCCAACAUCCCCACAUUCGAGAUCUCCGACCCCCUCAUCCUUUCUAUUUAUAAAAACUUUAAAAGGGCAGUUGUCAAUGCAUAUGUCUAUAAUAAAUUUUGCAGGUCUCGUUGAGUUGAUCUUGAUAUAGGUCAGCGUUGGAGGGGAAACCACUUCACCGACAUAAAUUGAUGGUUUCCCAAGGACAAGCUUAGUGUCCUAAAACAAGUACUGAUCAGAUCAUAACAUGAGCUUUUAAUUAUUUGCAACAUUACCUUGUGUAUUGAGCAUAUAAGGAUAAUUGUAAAAAUAUUCCUUCGGGUAUUUGUCACUAACCUUUCUAGGAUUGGAGCAAGAAGAUCGGAUGAAUGACAAGCACAAGGUAUGUCCAACCAAUCAUCAUACAACAAUGAAUUAUAUUCAUCCAAACUUGAAUUUUGCUAAAUUCAAGCAUGGUGGAGUACUUUACAUAAAAACAUCCUUUGCCAUGUUGCUAUGUUGGUUGUCCCUACCUUUGAGACAUGCUCAAUUUGUUAAAUACCAAUCACACUACUUCAUCUCCACUUGAGUAGAUCUCUAUAAAUUCUCUCAUGCUACCUUUAUUUGCUUUAGUAUAUGUCUAGGUUUGGAGUAGUUUCAUUUAUCCCUUAAUUAAGCAUGGUGCUUAGUUUAGGAAUGAUAAUCUUACUUCCAAAGGAUUUUAAAUUAAGCAUGGUUUUUAGGUUAAAAUGCCAUCCUAAAUCAAAUUAGACAUGGUGUCUAGGUUGAUCUUUGAGCCGAUAGUAUGCUAUAGUAGAUAUUGGAUAUUUUGUUGGACUAACCCCUGCAGGAAAACUUUCAAUAUCGACCUAGGAAGUCCUGAGAUAAACUCACAUUGGAGACAAAGAGAGAGACACAUGAAGUUUAACAAUUUACACAAGGAAAGCAUAGCUCACAAGAGAUGAUCCACGGAGGGUGCCACAAACACGAUGCACAACCGCUAAGAGAGGAAAGCUUCCACAAGGUGAUACUGUACCAUCACUCUUCAAGUAAGGUAACAUCUUAAGGUACUUGACUAUCACUUCUAUAAGCUUCUCCUUGGUUUUGGCAUUCACAUGAAUAAAAGAGACAAACAUGUAUGAUUUACAAUUCUAGAUUAACCAACCCAAUCGAUUCUAUAUGAUUAGUCCUUUCACCUUUGUGAUCCCACACUAAACGUUGCACACACAAUCUUUGGAAGAUAUAUAUAAAAAAAGAGAUAAGUAUAGAUAGAUUAUCUUUCCAUUAGGUUGAGUGAUCUGAUCUGACGAAUGUUUUAAAUGCUACACUCAUGAUCUUAUUAUCCAUCAACUUUGUCUUGCUCACUAUGCUUAAGGUUAGAGAAGAACAAAUACACUUUUGGUUCUGUUGGUGUUUUCCACCAACAGGGCCCAUGCACUUGAUCUCUGCCUUGUCUCUAUGAGCAGGUACACUUCGAGCAAAAUAUGAAGGAGUUUUACAACUCCCAGACUCCACCAAGUGAAGAACCUAGAUAUACGAGUACUCACACACUGGACAUACUGGACACUCAGGCAAUCACUGCCCUGAGAUGCUUGAGGACGUAACUACUGGAGUAACCCCAUUGUGGAAGUAAUUACUGACCUUCUGCCGGUCAAGAGAGACAAUCCAUGACGCCCCGUCAUCCCGAUCUCCAUCGGCAUGGUGGACUUCCUAGAAGCACUCUGUGACUUUGGCUCUAGCGUCAACAUUAUGCCUAGGGUACUCUAUGAAAAAUUCUCUAGACAUCCUUUAUUAGAAACAACCAUGUGUUUGCAGCUUGCAGAUCAGACACUAAGUUCCCCAAAGGGAAUAUUGAAGAACCUCUAUGUCCGAGUUGGUACCUUAUACGCUCCAGCAGACUUCGUGGUGAUAGAGACUGGUAUUGAUGAGAGGGCACCCAUCAUCCUAGGGAGGCCAUUCCUGAACACCUCGGGAGCUGUCAUCCAUGCUAGUGCUGCCAAGAUCAGUUUCUACAUCAAUGGGAAGAAGGAUACGUUUUCCUUCAAGAAAUAAGACUACACAAAUCCUAGAGCAAUCCCGACAUGAACCAAGGAAGAGGACCAACAGGAGGAACAAGAACAAGCAAAUGUGUACCGAGUUAGCUAAGAUGGUCACUGCAGCUCAAGGAGGUCAAGAUCGUCAACUCAAGUCACCUUUCUUGAUCAAGAAGGACGACCCUGGUGUUCCAAGCAUCGAGUACACAAUCAACAGAUAUUCUUUUCACAAGACACUCUACGACACCGGAUCUAACAUCAACAUAAUGGCCGCAGUCACUUAUUAGUUCCUGCAUGGAACCAUGUCCCUACAACCAACAUACAUUCAGCUCCAGAUGAUUUUAAGGUUAUUGACAUGGGAGAAGACAAGUAUGAUCCUCCAUCAUCCUUAGGAGACCGUUCCUCAGCACCGUUAAAGCAAUCAUCUACAUUGGAACCCGAGAAGUCCACAUGCACCUCACCUCUGAGAAGGUACGCCACUAUUUUACUGGCCCUAACUAUAUAGUUGAAGACUCUAAGCAGGUCGGGACAAGAAGGAGACGGUGCAACCGCAACCAGAGAAGGCAAAAUCAUCAAGGACGGAUGGGUAGACUAUGAUGGAGAAGUUGUAAGGUCUGAAGACAUAUAACUUGAACAGAACUGUCCUGAGGAGACCGUAGCAUCGAGUCAGGUGUGGAGAAAAAAGAUAGUUAUACAUGAAGAGCAGGCUCCGCUGGAACCACCGACUACGCCAUCCAGCGAAUCCCAGGACGAUUGAGAAAACGGAGAGUCCCGUUCGGAGGACUUAAAAACACAAACGCUUUGCCAAGAGGUAAACUUGGUAGUUAUCUUUUUCCUUUCAAUUAUUUUAAAUAGUUUGCUUAGUUAAUCAGGUUCAUAUCAUCUUGAAAAGAAAAUAAAAAUGUUAAAAAUAGUAAGCCCCAUGUGAGUAUGCUCAUGGCAUAAAACCCAUAAGUACAUUCACUGUGGUGGCAUAAAAAUAAAAUAAAUAUAUUCCUGUCCUAUAAAAAUGAAAAUAUAAAAAUAAAUUUAUGAUCCUACUAAAGAGUGUAACAUUUAUUGAGGAGGCUCAACAUGAUAAAGGCUAGAUACUAAUGCUAACACUUAAUCAGUUCCACAAAGCUUUGUUGUCUAUUUGAGCUCCACAGAAUUCAAGGAUCAAAGAAGACUAACAGACGGAGGACAUCCUAAUCGCUGUCAGGGUGCUGCCAACAUUCAAAUACAUCUCUGCCACCUGCUAGCUACAUCAGAAGGAAUUACGGCAAAAUCCAGCUUGGGGGAGAGCACCCCCAUUUAUCCAGCUAAGUGUUCUACUCACCUUUAUAUUCUUCUCAAAUAAUAAAAAGAUGCAUAAUCAUAAAAACCCAAAUAAAGGUUUUGUGCUUAUAUAUAUCUUUGCUUAGUUUGCUAAAUAAAUAAUAAAUAAAUAAAGUUUGCUAUGAACACUCAUGAUAAGCUCUCACAUGGAAAUGAUGAAUAGUUGCUCUGCCAUGACUAGUUCUCAAAAGUGAAAUCUCUCUCAAAUUUAAGUAUGACUGGUAUUAAUUAAGAUUUGCUCUAAACCUGAACUUGUGGGAAGAGUACUUGAUCUAAAGUCUAAGUCGUUAACGGAUAUGAUAUGGGAAGGUUGAGCUGUUGUUUAUCUGUUCCUAGAGAUGCUAGAAUUCUGGAGAAUUUUAUCUUUGAAAAUCUGUAAAAUGUUGCAUGAUGAGUUCCUGUAUGAUGAGAGUUUAAAUUCCUACCACAGCCAUAUAUACAUGCUUGCUAGACUUUGAGCCACACAUUUAUAUUUUUUUACUGCUUAUGAGCAUUGAGUGUGGUCAAGCUGUGUAGACCCUUAGGAGCUUGUCAUGUAGUUAAAUCAAGAUUCACUUGCACGUUCACUCACACAUGCUACUUCUACUCCAGAAGUACCAUCCACAUAUAUCCAUCCAUUUCCAUCUCUAGAACCACCCAAAAAUAUUCUACUCCUAAUCCGGGAGAGAAUAGCCAAAAACAUUCUCCUAUUUCUGUUUUUCCCUGUGAAAAAAAUGCUCAAGUUAUCUUGGUUACUACCACUUGCUAUAUUAUUUCAGGAGAUGAGUGCUCUAAAAAAAGAAAGAAAAAAAGAAAGAAUGCGAGGAAAUAAAAAGGGGCAAGUGCCCGGAACCUCGAAAGAAAUAAAAAGUGAGACCAGAGGUAAAAAUGGACAAGUGUCCGACAGUAGAAUUAGGGGUACAAGAUACCCACGUGAGAGAAAAAGAAAAUAUAGAGCCAUCUCAUUCUCCUCAAAAAGUUUCAAAAGAGCAAGAAAGGUAUGUAUCCCCUCAAAAGAGCAAAAGUAGAAUUAGACUUUCACCAUUGUUAUUACCAUCGUCACCAUACAUCAUUCAUUCGCCACACAUGCACAUCUUGAUUUGACUUAUUGACUUGUUCUUCUGGAUCCAUGGUUUGACUAUGCAAUAAAUGUCUUGUAAGUAUGUAUUAGCUGUCUCCCACCUAUGAGCUCCAGAUAUCAAAACCUUAUUAGAGUAGGGCGAGAGAGAAGGCAAUGUCACUAUGCCUGAUACCAAAAAUACCACAUACUUUGAGAGGAGGCAUACACCUUUACUGCCUUGGUAAGGAUCCAGAAAUACCACAAAAGAGAGACUAGAGAGAGUCAUACAAGGUAUAUCUGAGUUUUAUUUGAAAAUCUGCAAAAACUCCAGAGCUAUAGUUAAUCGAAGAACAAGAGACAUGGUGCUUGACUAGACCGUUCUAUCUUUUAACUGCUCAAGACAUAAGUGACGGUUGCAAGCCCCAUGGUGAAAGGUAAAAUGAGUAAGUUAUAAAUCUUAACAGUUUACCCUAACCUAGAGA